rnacentral:lncRNA from 1 species
GGCGGCUACCCUAGUUCCAUUCCCCUCUCUGUAAUCGCAAUUUCCCUGUAAUCGAGAUACUGGACUCGAAUUCGUGAGUGAGAUCAAGCUAGUUCGAAGAAUCCCUACUUUGUACCUUACACAAAAGGGAUCAGAAAAUACAAUUGCAAGCAUGUGAACAUGGCAAAAACAUAAUUAGAUUACAGAAUUAGUGAAAAACUGGAGCAUGCAAAUCAGUUAACGAGUAGGCAUGUUUACGAGCUCGAUGCACUCCCUACAGAGCAUGGCAUGACCAACUAAGCAUACACCCAUCAAGAAUACAUGGAAUAGAAGCUAGACAUGGCAAGAACAACAACAUAGCAUGCACGGAUCAAUAACAACAUCCUCGGCAAAAUCGCUAACAAGUCAACAAUCUGUCAGGAUUCACGAAAUAGCAAAAGUAGAGCUCGAUUGACUCAAGCUAGGUUGCUCCAUAAAUGCAAACAAAGACAUGGAUGGAUAGAGCACCACAAUGUUAACAAAUCAUCCUUACUGAUCAUCCUCAAAAGAGGCACGGAUCACUAGGAAACAACAUGAACAUAUGGCAUAAUGACAAAAAUCAGCUCAAGGACUUAGUGAAAUUCUAAGUCCCUGAAAUCAAAAAUAACGAAUGCACUACUUUGCAAGCUUGUGCUAGUCACCACACAUAUCACAAAAAUACACGGUAAGCACCUCUGUAAAGAUGGCAUGACAUAUAACAAAACACAUGUAGAGCUCAGGAGCAUAUCAUGCACACAUUAAUCGUGGCAAAAAUGACAAAUAUCUAUUUGAUGAAACAGAUCUGACAAUUUUAUCACAUAGCCCUCUUCCAACAGUAUUUCGGGCAUCAAGAUGACCUCAAAUGAAAAUGAUACAAUGAGAUGAAAUUAUGUACUCUCUGAGUUGAACAUUUUGAUAGGCUACACGCGCAAAUCGGAGCUACGGAUACGGAGAUACGACAUGAUGAAAAAUGCAAGAAAACUAGGGUUUCGGGGGAAAGUCAACCCUUCGUCCUAGAUCCAGAUCUACUGUAGCUGCACGAAUAACGAGGUUCGCCGGAGGGAGCACUGUAGACGGCCGGAGAAGGUGUCGGAGCUUGAGGAAGAGGGGCCCCGAGGCCCUCCCGGGCCGGAUCUCGCCGGCUCUGGUCACCGGCGAGUCGGAGAGGCGGCGGGGAGGCGCGGCGAUGUCGGAGGAGGUGCGGGCGGUGAGGCGCGUCGGUGGCGGCGCUCUGCUCCGGCCGGCAAGGUGCGGUGGUGGCAAAGUGGCCUCGGGCGGCGCGAGAGGAAGAAGAAGCCCCGGGCGGCGGCGGAGGAGACCCGGGCCGCGGGGGCCUGCCACGGGCCGAGCGGGCCCACGCGGGAUCGGCGGCCAAGUGGGGCGCGUGCUGCCACAUGGCGCGCCCCGGUUGGCGGCGGCGACUUAUCUGGUGGAGGCGGACGUGUCCGGUGGCGGCGGAGACGAAUUUCUAGUGUUAGGGUAGGAGAAGACCCGGAAAUUUCAAGGGGAGACCUAUAAAUAGGGAUAGAAGGAGCAAGGAGGCUCCAAAUUGAGCACGGUUUGCAGCCACGCGAUCGUGAUCGAACGACCGAGAUGAUGGAGGGGGUUUAGCUGGGUUUUGGGCCACUUUUGAGGGGUGUUGGGCUGCAACACACAUGAGGCUUUCUCGGUCCCUCGGUUAGCCAUUGGAGUAUCAAACGAAGUCCAAAUGGUACGAAACUUGAUAGGCGGUCUACCGGUAGUAAAUCAAGGCCGCUGGACAAGUCUCGGUCCAAUCCGGAAAUGUUUAAUGCCCACACAUGAAAAGAGGUAGAAAGGAUCACCGGAGGAGAUAGGAGCGCCGGAAUGCAAAACGGACAACGGGGAAAAUGCUCGGAUGCAUGAGACAAACACGUAUGUGAAUGCAAUGCACAUGAUGACAUGAUAUGAGAUGCAUGAAAAAGGCAACAACACAGGGAGACAAAACCCGAACCCGAGGAAAGUAAAAUAACUUAGCGCCGGAAACGGCAAGAGUUGGGAUACAUAUAAGGUAAAUUACAUCCGGGGUGUUACAACACUCCACCACUACGAAAGGAUCUCGUCCUGAGAUCUAGGACUGGAAAAACGCCGGAUACUCAGAAUGGAGGUGAUCCUCGCGUUCCUAGGUAGCUUCACGGUCGGAAUGGUGUGACCACUUGACUUUGAGGAAUUUGAUUGACUUAUUGAGAGUCUUGCGCUCAGUCUCUUCAAGAAUAGCAACGGGGUGCUCACGAUAAGAAAGGUCUUCUUGGAGAUCAAUGUCUUCGAAGUUGUCGGUGCGGUCAGGAGUGUUCAAGCACUUGCGGAGCUGAGAGACAUGGAACAUGUCGUGCACAUUUGCAAAGCUCGAGUUGAUAGGCGAGAUCACCUCUCUUGCUGACGAUUUUGAAAGGGCCCACGUAUCUAGGGGCAAGCUUCCCUUUGAUACCGAAGCGACGAGUACCUUUCAUUGGAGAGACGCGGAGGUAAACAUGGUCUCCGAUCUCGGAAGCCAAAUCACGAUGCUUACUAUCAUAGUAGCUCUUCUGGCGCGAUUGCGCUGCUUUGAGGUUAUCACGAAUGACUUUGCACAUUUCCUCUGCCUCUGUGAUCAAGUCAUUUCCAAGAAUUUGACGUUCACCGAUCUCUGACCAGUUAAGAGGAGUAUGGCACUUCCAGCCAUAGAGAAUUUCAAAUGGGGCCUUGCCCGAACUUGCUUGAAAAUUGUUGUUGUAGGAGAAUUCGGCAUAUGGAAAACAAUCUUCCCACUUCAUACCGAAGGAGAUAACGCAAGCCCUGAGCAUAUCUUCAAGAAUCUGAUUGACACGCUCGACUUGACCGCUAGUUUGACGAUGAAAAGUUGUGCUGAAGCGGAUGUUGGUGUCCAUGGCCUUCUGAAAAGAAUCCCAAAACUUGGAGGUAAAGAUGCUGCCACGGUCUGAAAAUAUCAACAGCGGAAUGCCGUGCAGAGAGACAAUCGAAGAGGUAUACAACUGCGCCAAUUGAGCUGCAGUGAUAGACUCUUUGAUAGGCAGAAAGUGAGCCACUUUAGUGAGUAUGUCGAUGACAACGAAUAUAGCAUCAUUGCCACGCUUGGACUUUGGAAACCCAGUCACGAAGUCCAUCUCAAUGUGGUCAAACUUCUAUUCUGGAAUGGCAAGAGGUUGGAGGAGACCAGCUAGUUGUUGGUGUUCUGCCUUCACUCUUCUGCCGACAUCACACUCAUUCACGAACUGAGCAAUCUCGCGCUUCAUUCGAGUCCACCAAUAAGCCUGCUUGAGGUCCUGGUACAUCUUCGUACUCCCAGGGUGGAUGGAGAGGAGUGAAAUGUGAGCCUCGUUCAUAAUGACUUUACGAAGGUGACCUUUAGGCACAACAAUGCGAUCCUCGAAGAAGAGAGUAUCCUUGUCAUCAAGGCGAUAGCACUUCUACUUGGGUUGACUCUUGGCAAUCCCAAUCUUCACCUUCUUCACCAUAUCAUCAAGAAGUUGAGCCUCGCGAAUCUGAUCUUCCAAAGUAGGAGAGACUUGAAGGUUGGCGAGGAAACCUUGAGGAACAACUUGCAGAUUGAGUUUGCGGAAAGCUUCACAAAGCUCGGGUUGGUAAGGCUUGAUAAUCAGACUGUUGUAGUAAGACUUCCUGCUCAAAGCGUCAGCAAUCACAUUGGCCUAGCCUGGAGUAUAUUCGAUGCUCGGAUUAUACUCUUGAAUCAUUUCGACCCAACGAGUCUGCCUGAGGUUGAGAUUAGGCUGAGUGAAGAUUUACUUGAGACUCUUGUGGUCAGUGAAGAUGUCCACUUUUCUUCCCAAUAAGAGAUGUCUCCAAGUCAAAAGAGCAUGCACAACUGCCGCCAACUCGAGGUCAUGAGUGGGGUAGUUCUUCUCGUUGGGCUUCAACUGGCGAGAGGUAUAAACCACAACUUUCUUCUCUUGCAUCAACACUGCACCAAGACCUUGAAGAGAGGCAUCGCAGAAGACCUCGAACGGUUUGGAUUCAUCAGGAGGAGUCAGAACUGGAGCAGUGACUAAUUUCUCUUUCAGGGUGUUGAAAGCGAUGUCACACUCAGGAGACCAAACGUACUUUACGUGCUUCUGGAGAAGGUUUGAAAGAGGCUUCGCGAUCUUUGAAAAGUUCUCAACGAACCUUCGACAGUACCUUGCAAGAUCAAGGAAGCUGCGGAGUUGCUUCACGUUCUGAGGUGGUUCCCAAUUCACAAUUGCAGACACCUUCUCAGGAUUUACCGCUAUGCCCUUUGCAGAGAUGAUAUGCCCAAGAUAGAGAACCUCAUCGAGCCAAAACUCGCACUUUGAAAACUUCGCAUAGAACUGAUGUUCUCUGAGCUUAUCGAGUACCAAACACAUGUGCUUGGCAUGAUCUUCCUUGUUCUUCAAAAAGACCAGAAUGUCAUCGAGGUAGACCAAGACAAAGUCAUUUGUGUAGGCGUUGAAGAUGAAGUUCAUCAUGUCAGAGAAAGUCGGUGGAGCGUUGACGAGGCCAAAAGACAUGACAGUGUAUUCAUAUAAACCAUAGCUUGUUCUGAAAGCCGUCUUGGGAAUAUCUUGCUCACGGAUUCGAAUCUGGUGAUAGCCCAUAUGGAGCUCAAGCUUGGAGAAUACUUGGGCACCAUUGAGUUGUUCGAACAGCUCAUUGAUGUUGGGAAGUGGGUACUUGUUCUUUAUAGUCUUCUUGUUCAAUGGACGGUAGUCAACACAAAGUCGGUCCGUUCUAUCCCUCUUCUUCACAAAAAGAACUCCACAACCCCACGGAGAAGAACUAGGUCGGAUGAGACCCAUAUGCUCUUGAAUAUCGAGUUGCUUCUUCAGAUCUUUCAACUCUUCAGGUCCAAGCUUGUAAGGAUGUUUGCAAACAGGUUCCGUGCCAGGCUCAAGAUCGAUGACGAAUUCAACUGGCCGGUGCGGAUGCAUUCCUGGAAGCUCUUCUAGAAAGACGUCUUGAUAUUCGCAAACGAUUGGAAUUUGAGAGAUGGCAUCCAGUUAUCCCUUCUCAUUGAGAGAAAACAGACGAAUGGUAUCAUCACGAGUGGCAAAGACAAUUACAUCCUCAGACGAAUGAGUCAAUUGAAUCUGCCUGGUAGCACAAUCAAGCCGAGCCUUGUGCUUAGAAAGCUAAUCCAUUCCGAGAAUAAGAUGAAUAUCCGAGUCACCAAGAACAUUUGGAGAGGAAAAGAACUUAUAGUCACCCAAUGUGAUUGAAACAUCCGGAACGCAUACUCGAGAUGUCAUUUGACGGGCCGGAGAGACAAUAGCCAACGGUUUCGGCAACACUUGAGUAACAAAAUCAUGCUUAGAUGCAAAAGGUCUCGAGAUGAAACAAUGUGAUGCACCAGUGUCAAAAAGAACUCUUGCAGGAAUAUCGUUAACAGGAAGGUUACCCAUGAUUACAUCUGACGAGUCCUCUGCCUGAGCUGCAUUCACCAUGUUUACCUUGGCGUACUUGGGGUUAUGCUUGACCACAGCUAUACUUGUCGAUCUCACAGGAGGAGGAGGAGGGAGACGCCUCUGAUUGAAGCAUUUGUUGGCAUACUGACCCUUCUGUUGGCACUUGUUGCACGUGACCUCUGAAAGCAGACGGUGAUACGGAGCACUCGAUCUUGGAGCUUGAGACAAAGUCUUCUUCUGAAAGCCAGGGUUGGGUGGGUGGGAAGAUCCACUGCCACCUUUGCUCUUCUGCUGAUAAGGCUGACGGAACGGAGGAGAAGGAAGCCAAUACUUCUGCUGCUUAGCCACUUGAGUAGAGGAAGAAGGAGUAGCAUCUCUGACUCGCUUCUUGGAAGCAUCGCACUUCAGUUGAGCAGUCUCUUUCUUCAUUGCCAUGAUGUAAAACUCAUCGUACCUCUUGGGCUCAAAGAGAACGAGAGCUAGCUGGAUUUCUUCUCUGAGACCACCCCUGAACUGGUAUAUCAUGCUCUUCUCAUCAGGGACGUCCUGCUUAGCAAAACGGGUGAGCUUCUGAAACAUCUUGUUGUACUCGUAGACAGACAUAGAGCCUUGCUUCAGGUUGCGGAAUUCCUCACGCUUGCUUUCAACCACGCUCUAAGGAAUAUGAUGAGCUUUGAAGUCUUGACGGAAUUCAUCCCAGGUAAUCACACGGCCUCCUCUGGAAUCUUUGUACUGCUGAAACCAUUCUGCAGCUUGGUCUUUGAGUUGGAAGGAAGCGAACUUGACAAAGUCCUCAGGUCUGACGUUACUACACUCGAAAUGCUUGCAUAUGUCCAUGAGCCAAUCAUCAGCGUCUGUUGCCUCAACACAAUUGUUGAAGGUCUUUGGCUGGUUAGCAAGGAACUGGUUGAGUGUAGCAAAGUGAUUCUGAAUGUUGCCUUGGCCCUGGUUCCCUUGGUUGCGCUCUUGAAGAAGUUGCAUGAUCAGCUGCGUGUUUGCAUUGGUAGUGGCCAUCACAGCUUACCAUGCCUCAAGAGGUGGAGGUGGUGGUGGCGGAUCAGGAUUCGGAGUCGUGCGCAUUGGAGGAGCCAUCCUGAAGAGGUUGACAUCCUUUAGCACAUUGAUAGACAAAUAUUGAAGCUGAAUCAGGCGGGUUGAAAUUGUAACAUAUAGUCUUCACAUCCGAACAAAAUGAAUGAAUGCAUUCCAAUUGAAAUGGUCACAUAUCCAUAAAUUGAGAAGCCACUUAGAAUUUAGGUAGAAGAAAAACAACAAGGUACGGAACAAGAACGCAUACUCGGUGAGGAUUACCCAAUCUCAAACCAAAUAUCCAUGGAAGAAGAACUAGAGCUACAAGAAUUCCCACCUAUGAAACUCCCAAAACUUUCUGGUUAUGCAAUCAGGUGUUGGGGAUACAGGGGAAGCAUAAUAUCUCACCCAAAUCUAGCAAAUCCUACAUCCAGCUGUAUCCAUCCUUCAACACAUAACCGAGAAAAACUUCAGAAAUCGUCUACCUCAACCUUCGAAAAGCAUCCGUUAUACAAGUUAUGGCAAUACUCCCGAACUCCCGCCCCAGUACUGAGUGGCGUUGAGGUUAUCUCACCAACAACUGCAUAAAAGAGAUUUUCGAUGUUGGCGAACCUAAACUCAGGUAUUCCAGAACAGCAACGAUAAAAUUGUGACGACAACACCUCAGAGCUCAACUCCCCGGGACACUGCCACAACCCCUAAAUGACAGUAGGCACCAAGAAUAAUGUUCUCGUCACAAAUCGAUCGGAACGAUUCCAAGAUACCCGCGUGAUCCUAAAAAAAUUUAGUGAAAUUUGAGAAGAGAAGAGUCAAACUCUAUGUCAGGAUGCCUUACCAGAGCGAUGAAGGGACUGGGGAGUAAAAAGAAUUCCUAAACUCUCCGAUAUAUAUAAUCCUAAAUGACUCAAAACAUUUUUUUCUAGACUCAACAACGCCAGCUAUUCGAUCAAGCAGGGGGGCUCCUAAGGUCGGGGAAGGCUCUGAUACCAACUUGUAACGCCCUCGACGCGGCUAUAUCUCCUACGUAUCGAAGCACGACUUAGAGGCAUAACCGCAUUAAAAGCAAUGUCGCAAGUAAGGUAAUCUUCACAACAACCCAUGUAAAUAGAUAAUAGGGGAAAAAGGUACAUAGUUGGCUUACACUCGCCACGUCACACGAAUACAUGAAUAACAUUACAAUCAUCCAAUUCACUCAUGGUCUGACUACGGUACCAAAAUAAAAGAUCGACCCCAACAUGCGACACGGUCCCUGAUCGCCCCAAUUGGGCACCUCUACUGAUCAUUUGGAAAGACACAUAGUAUCGGCGAGAGUCUUCGUCGAACUCCCACUUGAGCUCAAGCGCAUCAUCUGGAACGGAAUCAUCGGUCCCUGCAUCUGGUUUGGAAGUAAUCUGUGAGUCACGGGGACUCAGCAAUCUCGCACCCUCGCGAUCAAGACUAUUUAAGCUUAUAGGUAAGGCAAGGUAAUAUGUGGAGCUGCAGCAAGCGACUAGCAUAUAUUGUGGCUAACCUGUUGGCAAAAGAGAGCGAGAAGAGAAGGCAAAGCAUGAAUGAAGAACUAUGAUCAAGAAGUGAUCCUAGAACAACCUACGUCAAUCAUUACUCCAACACUAUGUUCACUUCCCGGACUCCGCCGAAAAGAGACCAUCACGGUAACACACGUGGUUGAUUCAUUUUAAUUAAGUUAAGUUUCAUGUUAUCUACAACCGGACAUUAACAAAUUCCCAUCUGCCCAUAACCGCGGGCAUGGCUUUCGAAAGUUCAAAUCCCUGCAGGGGAGUCCAAACUUAACCCAUUACAAGCUCUCACGGUUAACGAAGGAUAUUCCUUCUCCCGAGACACUCCGAUCAGACUCGGUAUCCCGGUUCUACAAGACAUCUUCGACAAUGGUAAAAAAAGUCCAGCAACACCGCCCGAGUGUGCCGACAAAUCCCGAUAGGAGCUGCACAUAUCUCGUUCUCAGGGCACACUCGUAUAAGCAAUCCGUACAACUAAAACCAUCCCUCGAGUUUCCCCGAGGUGGCGCUGCAAGGGGCUCUAGUUUGGACCAACACUCAGAGGAGCACUGGCCCGGGGGGGUUUAAAUAAACAUGACCCAAGGGAAAAAGAGGCUAGGUGGCAAAUGGUAAAACCAAGGUUGGGCAUUGCUGGAGGAGUUUUAUUCAAUGCGAACUGUCAAGGGGUUCCCAUUAUCACCCAACCGCGUAAGGAACGCAAAAUCCGGGAACAUAACACCGAUAUGACGGAAACUAGGGCGACAAGAGUGGAACAAAACACUAGGCCAAAGGCCGAGCCUUCCACCCUUUACCAAGUAUAUAGGGGCAUUAAUAUAACAAGAUAAUAUAGUGAUAUCCCAACAAUAAACAAUGUUCCAACAAGGAACGAUCUCCAAUCCUCACCUGCAACUAGCAACGCUAUAAGAGGGGCUGAGCAAAGCGGUAACAUAGCCAAUCAACGGUUUGCUAGGACAUGGUGGGUUAGAGGUUUGACAUGGCAAUUUGGGAGGCAUGAUAAGAAAGUGGUAGGCAUCAUAGCAUAGGCAUAGCAAAAGAGCGAGCAACUAGCAAGCAAAGAUAGAAGUGAUUUCGAGGGUAUGAUCAUCUUGCCUGCAAAGUUGUCAGAGUUGACUUGGUCCUCGUAAGCAAACUCAAUGGGAUCCUCAUUAGCGAACUCGCCUCCCGGCUCUACCCAAACAAGACAAACAAGCAAAAGGAACAAAAUCAACCACAUGCAAUGCUCGAACAACAUGAUGCAAACAUGGUAUGCUAUGCGGGAUGCGGUAUGUGAUGCAUAUGCAAGAUUUGACAAGGAAUGAUUGAACCUGGCCUCAAAAUAGAAAUCCAAGAGUGCCACUAGAAAGUUGAGGUGAUUUCGGUCGAAAUCGAUAUAAAGAUCACCGGAAUCGGAUGCACGGUUUGGAAAUGGCAAGCAAAACAAAUAUGGCACCGGUCUGCGAUAAUCAGCAAGUAACCAUCUAAAUGCAUCAAGAUAAAUAUGCUACAGCACUCAAAGAUGACAACAAAAUACAUGGCAGGGAUCCACUCAUGAUGCUUGACAAAAUAUGAACACUGAUCUAUGGCGAAUUCAUCCAUUAACAGGUUCAAACAAGCAUGGCAAAAAUGCAAACGAUAACAUGUUUCAGACUUAGUGAAAUUAACACAAGUCUGGAAUUUAACAUCAGGUAGCACACUUUGGAGCAUGAAAACUAUAUACUACAGGAACUUAACAUGGCAAAGCAAGGCAUGGCAUGAAUCUACUCAAAGCACUUUACAAAAGUCCCUUAGUGACCUUGAGCCAAAAGGGAUCAGAAAAUACAAUUGCAAGCAUGUGAACAUGCAAAUCAGUUAACGAGUAGGCAUGUUUAUGAGCUCGAUGCACUCACUACAGAGCAUGGCAUGACCAACUAAGCAUACACCCAUCAAGAAUACAUGGCAUAGAAGCUAGACAUGGCAAGAACAACAACAUAGCAUGCACGGAUCAAUAACAACAUCCUCGGCAAAAUCGCUAACAAGUCAACAAUCUGCCAGGAUUCACGAAAUAGCAGAAGUAGAGCUCGAUUGACUCACGCUAGGUUGAUCCAUAAAUGCAAACAAAGACAUGGAUGGAUAGAUCACCACAAUGCUAACAAAUCAUCCUUACUGAUCAUCCUCAAAAGAGGCAUAGAUCACUAGGAAACAACAUGAACAUAUGGCAUAAUGACAAAAAUCAGCUCAAGGACUUAGUGAAAUUCCAAGUCCCUGAAAUCAGCAAUAACGAAUGCACUAAUUUGCAAGCUUGUGAUAGUCACCACACGUAUCACAAAAAUACACUGUAAGUACCUCUGUAAAUAUGGAAUGGCAUAUAAGAAAACACAUGUAGAGCUCAGGAGCAUAUCAUGCACACAUUAAUCGUGGCAAAAAUGACAAAUAUCUAUUUGAUGAAACAGAUGUGACAAUUUUAUCACAUAUCCCUCUUCCAACAGCAUUUCAGGCAUCAAGAUGAGCUCAAAUGAAAAUGAUACAAUGAGAUGAAAUGAUGUACUCUCCGAGUCGAACAUUCUGAUAGGCUACAUGCGCAAAUCGGAGCUACGGAUGCGGAGAUACGACAUGAUGAAAAACACAAAAAAAAACUAGGGUUUCGGGGGAAAGUCAACCCUUCGUUCCAGAUCCAGAUCUACUGUAGCUGCACGAAUAACGAGGUUCGCCUGAGGGAGCACUGUAGACGGCCUGAGAAGGUGCUGGAGCUCAAGGAAGAGGGGCCCCAAGGACCUCCCAGGCCAGAUCUCGCCGGAUCCGNNNNNNNNNNNNNNNNNNNNNNNNNNNNNNNNNNNNNNNNNNNNNNNNNNNNNNNNNNNNNNNNNNNNNNNNNNNNNNNNNNNNNNNNNNNNNNNNNNNNNNNNNNNNNNNNNNNNNNNNNNNNNNNNNNNNNNNNNNNNNNNNNNNNNNNNNNNNNNNNNNNNNNNNNNNNNNNNNNNNNNNNNNNNNNNNNNNNNNNNNNNNNNNNNNNNNNNNNNNNNNNNNNNNNNNNNNNNNNNNNNNNNNNNNNNNNNNNNNNNNNNNNNNNNNNNNNNNNNNNNNNNNNNNNNNNNNNNNNNNNNNNNNNNNNNNNNNNNNNNNNNNNNNNNNNNNNNNNNNNNNNNNNNNNNNNNNNNNNNNNNNNNNNNNNNNNNNNNNNNNNNNNNNNNNNNNNNNNNNNNNNNNNNNNNNNNNNNNNNGAGGAAGAAGAAGUCCCGGGCGGCGGCGGAGGAGACCCGGGCCGCGGGGGCGGGCCACGGGCCGAGCGGGCCCGCGCGGGAUCGGCGGCGAAGUGGUGCGCGCGCUGCCACGUGGCACGCCCCGGUUGGCGGCGGUGACUUGUCCGGUGGAGGCGGACGUGUCCAGUGGCGGCGGAGACGAAUUUCUAGGGUUAGGGUAGGAGAUGACCCGGAAAUUUUAAGGGGAGACCUAUAAAUAGGGAUAGAAGGAGCUAGGAGGCUCCAAAUUGAGCACGGUUUGCGGCCACGCGAUCGUGAUCGAACGACCGAGAUGAUGGAGGGGGCUUAGCUGGGUUUUGGGCCACUUUUGAGGGGUGAUACGCUGCAACACACACGAGGCCUUCUCGGUCACUCGGUUAACCGUUGGAGUAUCAAACGAAGUCCAAAUGGUACGAAACUUGACAGGCGGUCUACCGGUAGUAAACCAAGGCCACUUGACAAGUCUCGGUCCAAUCCGGAAAUGUUUAACCCCCACACAUGAAAAGAGGUAGAAAGGAUCACCGGAGGAGAUAGGAGCGCCGGAAUGCAAAAUGAACAACGGGGAAAAUGCUCGGAUGCAUGAGACGAACACGUAUGCGAAUGCAAUGCACAUGAUGACAUGAUAUGAGAUGCAUGACAAAGGCAACAAAACACGGAGACAAAACCCGAACCCGAGGAAAAUAAAAUAACUUAGCGCUGGAAACGGCAAGAGUUGGGAUACAUAUAAGGUAAAUUACAUCCGGGGUGUUACAAGUAGUGGUAGCAUGUCGAGGGGCACCACGGCAACCUCUAUAGGAUCGCCAAGUCGGUGUCGUGACCACCUGUGAGGAUCGGGCAUCAACAAGUAGGGUGUCUUGAAAAGAGCCGGCCGGUUGCAGACGAGUAGAUGGUGCAAAGACACCGAGCAUGCGGCCAGACGGACGGUUCUGAGUAGGUCCUUACGAUUACAGAUCUGCUCCAAGAGAACAUCGGGGAGGGAAUUCCAAUCACGGCUCUACAUGUCAGUUGGUUCUGCCAUUGGGGUUUUCGGUGCCUGCGAGCCAGUGGGGAAGUGGAUUCGGGCGGGCGAGUGAAGAAGCUUCUUCCCGUGUGGCCGAGUAGUGAGUGGGGGGAUAUGGUACGCGUGAGCUACCAAGGAAGAUAGCGCGGGUGGGCGAGCAGUGAGCGGGGGGGGGGGAUGGUGUGCGGCCGAUGAUGGGGAAGAGAGGAGGAAGAAGAUUGGAAGACGGGGAAGAAAGUGCAUUAAAUCUCAAUUCUACUACUACUACGAGGAUAUACCGUCCUUCGGAGUGUAAAUAGUUAUACCGAUGACAUGCGGGUCUACCACAAGAGGGCCCAUAUGUCAGCUAAUGGAGGACAGAAGCGGGCUCUACUGGAAAGCAUGAUGGCAGUACUAGGUAAGCCUGAUUUAGUAACACCAACACGCUGUUUCAGCUUAUUAAUUAAGUGUCCCAUCUGCUGCAGCGUUUAUUGUCACUUCACUGCGCAGACUAGUUGAAUAGUUCUCUCUGACCAAGAUGGGUAAUAAUGGAUCGCGAAGACUUCCUUUCUACAUUAUCCCUAUGCCUCUACGCUCACUUCACUUAUUUUGCUCCGUACGUAGUCACUUGUUGAAAUCUCUAGAAAGACAAAUACUCCAUAUUUGGGAAUAGAGGGAGGAUUUUACUCCGUAUUUGGGAACAGAGGGAGGAUUUUACUCCGUAUUUGGGAAUAGAGGGAGUAUCACCAUAUGGAGGGAACAGAGGAAGCUUGAAAUAUGAACAUGUCAAUAGGAGGGAGUAAGCCCCAUGCAUGCAUGCAUGCAAUAUGCAACACUCACGCACCCAUGCGGCACACAGCACAUGACGCAACACACACGCUCACGCUCAAGUGCUCAAACUACUCCCUAUGUCCGUGAAAGACUACAUUUAGAGAUUUACACAUUGACUAGGGCAUAAUUAACGCCCAAAAGUAGCAGACUUAUGUGUGCAUGCGACCAUUGAGAGAAGAAGAUUAAAUGAAGGUCGUUGCUUACUGUAAUUAAGAAUAGACAUGUAGCCUAUACCUAGAGCACAAGUUGGUGCAUUAGUCAAUCAAUAUCGAUUUAGAUUAAAGGCUAAAUGCAUUGGAAGUGUAGAUUUACUACACUCUUUGUUUUUUAGCCGAUGUACACUCUUUGUUGGAAGACCGAGGGAGUACACGUGCAUGCACUCACAUACACAGCCAGGGUGGUUCGCGUGCAAGGGUUGGACUCCUGUCGCGCCUGCGUAAAGUUUUGUUUAACUGAUUUCUUUGCUCUGCCAACUGACAGGUGGGACCCAGAAACCAGGUGACAAUUUAACCAGUGAACAAAGUGCCACGUCGACUAUGUGGCCGGUCAGUAGGGUGCAAUACGGUGCUCUAUGAUGAGCUAGUGAUCGUAUAAUCACCGCAAAACUAUAUAUAGUGAUUGUAAAGAGCGUAUUGUUACAUACGUUGACCGCUAGUGUAUUUUUCUCAUUUCAAAUUAAGCCAUAUUAACCGGAAAGGACGCAGUAUGGACUAAUACUAGUAUUGCUUUGAUGUGUCCCAUCAACUCGCCGAAUGAGGAGAAGCUUGCUUACUACGCCUCUCCCUCACCCACGCACGCGGUGGUUCGCAGGACGAGGAGAGGGUUUUGACUAUAGCGCCCUCUCCCUCUCCCUCGCCCUUGCCCUCGCGGUGGACGUGCAACAGUUCAAUCAGUGUCAGAUUGCUAGAAGCAUAUUGUACUGUAGUAUUAUGAUUGUUGGACCUUCCGAAGAGGCAAAGAGCCAAGUGCAAGGUUCACACGAGUACGAGCUGUUGAACCUCUCGAAGAGGCAAAGAGCCAAGCGCAAGGUUUUAUAAGAGUUUUCGUCCUAGUAGGAGUGUACUACAACUAUAGCGAACGAUGCUACUGUACGAUGCCUCCACGUCACGUAUAUCCAAAGCUGUGCCACCAUUUUCUCAAAGAGCAUGUUGGAGCCCGUGCAACAACCACACAAGUUGCACGUACACAUAACACAUUUACUAGUAAUAAAUUCUAAAGGACAAAUGCCAGUAUGCCACACAGAUUCAUCUCCAAUUCAUGUGAUAAAUUUGUGCACGACUAGUCUACAUAUAUUCACGGCGCUACUGUUCACAAUUUACCGUACUCCACUUACACGUUAUAGAUGGGCUACAUCUCCUCCUCCAGGUUCCAGUCCCAGGUGUUCUUCAUGGAUGGCACGAUCCAUAGCGGUGGGCAACGGGAAUCAUUGUCGCAGCUUUCUAGUACGGUUCCACACGAUGGAGACUCAUCCAAGCUGAAGCGGCAUAAAUCAGGGAUAGCGUGUCCCAGCAUGUCAUUCAUCCGAUGGUGUGCACUGAAGACACAACCAAGCUUCAUGAAUGGCAGGCCUUCCAUGUCGUGCACGGAAGGUGGCAUCUUCUUCACAAUGGGUAGCUGUCCCCAAUGAAAAGUGAGUACUCAAAGAGUGUUCCUCGACACCCACGUAGCAUCACGGGGGUCGAACUCGGUGCCGUUCAUCUGGUACACACGGCAUCUCAGAUCUGGACACAUGGUGACGUACAUAGUCAAGGUCCAUGCAUAAUAAUGUUGUGCUCAAAUAUGGCGGUCAGUAAUACUCUGCAACAAAUAGUACUACUCCGGUAUGGAGGAAGUAAAAUAAUCGGCUUUUAAUAUAUAGCCACUCUUGGCUACAUGGAUGAGAUAGUAAGACAUGGAAAAACGAAAAUGGUGGCAGCUAGUGGAUUCAAGUCUUCAAGGGCCUAGCUAGCUAUACACGUCCUCCAAGGUAAAAAGUACUCCUACUCCUACGUAAGUACUACCUCCGUCCGGGAUUAUAGGUCCGACCGACCGAAUCCGCAGGACCAAGGCAGAGCGAAGACACACACAAAUUCGUUGAUUCCCGAUGAUAUUAACUGCCGCAUGCACUGUUGCCUUUUGAGCUGAUCGCUUGCAUUAGCUGGAUUUUGCGCAUGCAAAGAAGGGAGCACUAGUCCCGGAAAAAAUGUUGGCAUGCAGCUAGACUCCUUCGCAUGCAGCGGCUGGAAAUUAAUCACUGGAACAACAAUCGAGGGGCAGUGGCCUAAUAAAAAUGUACGCGAUUGUGUUUGCUAAAGGGCCUAAUAUACCCGGACGGAGGUAGUAGAGUACUACUCGUAGUACAACCAUGAAAGAGAAGGCGAGAGGGUUAAAAUAUGGAAUACCUGGGUAGAUGGUGACGGUCCGAUCGUGGUAGACUGUGUGACCAUGUUGCACAUCAGUGGUACCAUGGGUAACGACUGCUAAGAUAGUUGAUCCCAAUAUGCCAAAGUCAGCUAAAAGAUUCCAUGUUAGACCGAAUCGAGGAUGCAAAUGCACAUCCAGGAUCGGUGAUCUUAUUUUGAUCGCGGGAUGACUGGUCCCUGCAAAAUAAGGGAGUACCAUUAGGGACGCAAAUGAUGGUUUGAGCAUUCCGUUUGUAAUCCCCUGUACCUUAGGAUGGGAACCAGAUGAAACAAGUCCCCUGGCUUGUCACCACGAAGAUGCGGCCUAGAUGGCCCACGGUGUCUUCGAACGUGUAGGGGUACAAAUCUGCCACCGCCAAGAUGCGCCAGCCUCUGCCAUUACUGCCUCUUGCAUUGAUGGCCAUCCUUAUGUCGAACACCGCGAUGAGAUAGUAAUCGUCGUAGCAACGUCGCUUUGUCGGCAGGUGUUGGAUCUCGGGUUCCGUCAAAACCCUUAAGGUUCGAUCACUGGGGUGCGCAUGAAGAUCUCUCCCUCACUGAUCAUGCCCUCAAGCACUUCACGAUCUCAAAGGCUAGGUCGACGAACUUGCAACACAAGAGACACAAUAUUUAUACUGGUUCGGGCCACCGUUGUGGUAUAAUACCCUACUCUAGUGUGUUGUGGUGGAUUGCCUCUCGGGGUGAGGAUGAACAGUACAAGGGGAAGAAGGGCCUCCUGAGGAGAGGUGUUCUUGUGCUUGGUGAGUUUGUGUGGUCGAGGAUGAUCUGAAUGAUCUGUCUCGGAUCAGAUGGCUGAGGUCCUCUCUCUCCUACUGUGGUGGCUAAUCCUAUUUAUAGAGGCCCUGGCCCUCUCCCCAAAUAUAGAGUAGGAACGGAGCCAACAACGACCAAUUUAAAAGGGGACAACUAGUAUAGCUUAUCCUGACAAAAGUAGUCUUCGCCUGCCAAAGGCUCUGGUGGUGACGCCGUCUUGGGCUCCACGAUGCCCUCUGUCUUUCUGUCCGGCUGGUCUUGGUCUCAUUGCACCGAUAUGGAAACAUGUUCUUGACACCUCGGUACUCUUCAUCUGUGCUUGCCUCCUUAGCACCAAAGAGGAAACAAGGACACUGUGCGCGUUGGCACCCGCCUGGCGCCCACCUAGUCUCGAUCGUCAUGGCUCACGUCAUAGCAACCUCGCGAGGUUUGUCUUCCCUUGAUCUCUCCGCCCCUCGCGAGCCAACCUAGUGAGGCUCCUCCUGAGGAGGUCUUGUGUCGUCCGCCUCGCGAGGCUUGGCUCCUCGCGAGGGUCUUGAAUGCUUGUUGGUGAAGAUGGGUCGUACGGGCCCGCUUGCAGAGCCACACCGUGGGCCGCAGGCACUCAAGUCUGGGGACCCCGUUCCCAGAACGCCGACAGUAGCCCCCGGGCCCAAGGCGCGCUCGGGCUUGGCUUCGAGGCGAAGCCAAGGGUCAAGUGCGGAGCACCGUGGGCCCCAAUAGCCUGCGGCCUUGGUUGACGCGUGGUGGCUGAUUGGACGUGGGUGUCUCCGCUUUCCCACGCUACCUUGGCAACUGGCCGACUGUGAAAAGGCUGGUGUAGAUAGUGCUUGCCUUCACUACUUCUUUUCACCUUGCUCCAGAUCCCCUUUCUUGCUCCCUGCUUCCAAAAUCUCCAGAUCUACUCCCAUCCCCUUCCGGAGGGUCAAGCUUGCCUUGUCGCCAGCUUCGUAUGAGCCAUCUCUCGACGCGCCCAACAUCUUGGAGAAGAACCUCGCCGCCACGCGCUUUCUGACGGUGGGGGAAAGCAAUGAGAAGGGGAAGACUGGGCUUCCGGCUGGCUCCGACGUGCCGGAGCCCGAGGGAAGGACCUUCUUCCCCUUCUUUAAGAGCAGCAUCGUCGCAGGGCUGGUUCCCCCCUUUUCUAACUUCUUCUACGAGGUCCUUGGCCUCUACGAACUGCAGGCGCUGCACCUUCAUCCCAACUACAUCCUCCUCUUAUCGAUCUUCGCCUACUACUGCGAGGCGUACCUCGGCAUGAUGCCGUCCGUGGACCUGCUGCGUCACUUCUUCUUCCUCCGCAUCAAUGAGGGUCAUACCUCCGGGUGUGCCAAUUUCAUCGUGGCCGGCAAGGCCAACUCAAUCUCGAAGAAGGGGAAGAACGUCGAUGGCUUCAGGAGCAAGUGGGCCAUGAUGGACGCCAAGUGCGUCCAUCCAUGCUUGAUGCUGCCGACGAAGAUGCCCCAGUCCGACAAGGCGUGGUCUCGCGCGAAGCUCACUGAUGAGCGGGCGACGUUGGUGCUGGAGCAGAUGAACGCUGACCUAAAGCCGGGCAACGCGAAAGCGGCAAAGGUGACAGGGGCCAUGCUCCUGAAGGAAUUCCUAAUGCUGCACGUAGCCCCACUUCAGGUGCAUACGCGCCCCUUGUGGGAGCUUGGGGACGAAGAUGACAAGGUUCGCCUGAGCCCAAAAGCCUUGCCCAGUGAUGAGUUGGCUAUGGAUCUCCACCUCCUGGUCGGGGACGACCAGGAGUACCGCCGAAUGUCUUCACUCCCAUGUUCCGCCGUAAGGACGGGGAGAAGGUCGUGGCCGCGAGGCCGACCUUGGAUGGGCGCGGGCUGGUGCCCCUGGGGCCCCUGCGGCGGCGACGCUGAUGGAGCUGUCUUCUGGUGAGUCCCGUGGGGAGGAAGAGGAGGAGGAGGAGGAAGACUCGGAGGUGACCCCUGAAGGGAGGGGGAGACCACCCCCUUGAUCAAAGCUGACAUCUUCCGCACCCUUGCUGAGGAAGACGAGGCUGACGCCCACCAGGAGAAGGGAGAGCCGCCCGUAAUCCUGACGAGGGAAUGAUCGGCGUUGAUCUCCUAGGAUGUUGCUUCUAUUCUGACGCCGCCUGGAGUCGCUUGCGGCUCAGCCGCCACUCCUGCUUCUGCAUCCGGAGCUGGCGCGCCCAUGCCUCGGGUCGCGAAGCUCUCCUGCUUCAGGCACCCGAAGCAGAGGGACUACGCCACGGUGGAUCGGUAAGUGUUCCCGUCUUUCCUUGUUCUUGCUGCUGAUGCUUGUUUCUGACUCUUCUUCCUUGUUGUGUAACUAGGCCGACGCCGGCGGCGAAGAGGAGAAGGGAGAGCGAGGUGGUGCUGCUUGAGCCCCGGUCGCCUCCUGCGGCUGCGCCCCUCUCCAUGAGCAAAGGUGGGGAUGGAGCUCGUGCAUCUCCACCCCGAUCAUCCUCGCGAGGCUGGGCGGAGCAUCCUCGGGAGAAGUCAGCCCCCCAGGCCCCGCUGACUCGGGAGGUGCCAGAGUCCGGCUCCGGUGUUGAGGUCCAAGAGGCUCAGGAACUUCCUGCUUCCUAGGCCAUGGUGAUGACGAUGCCUCUUCCUCCUCCUUCUGCCAUCCUGGAGCGAGCCCUUUCUGAGAUGGCCCGGCUGCGAGAAGAUCUCCAGAGUGCCGAACCCCUCCUGGCGGCUGGGCGCCUGGAGCUGGUCUUUGGUUGGCUUCAUUCUGACAUGUCCGUUCGGGCGGCGCUGAGCCAGGUCGCGGCGACCUAUGAGGGGGAGAAGCGUGCCGCAGCAUAGGCAGCAGUUGCUCGUGAGGCGGCGCUGAAGGACACCGAGGCCGCCCAAGGUCGCUGCCGGAUGCUGGAGGCCGAGUUGAAGAUCCUGCGUGAAGAGCGUGCCGAAGAUGCCCGUGGCCGUAAGGCGGAGGAAGAGAGGAUGAAGGCCCGGGAGGUCGCCGUCAAGGGUUGCGACACCGAGCUGGAGCAGCUGGCGUAGGCGCAGGCUGCUGAGCACGGCCAGCUAGAGGAGGUGGAGCAAAAGGAGCAGGCUGAGAAGGUCGAACUUGAUGCCAAGAUGAAGGUUCUGGCCGAGGACCGCACGACCUUCGCGCUUUUGAGAAGAGGUCUCACGAGGCUCUGAAGUCACUCUAUGAGAAGGGCUUGGAGAAACCGUUGGACACCAAUGAGGACGGCCCCACCCAGUUGUUUCCCUACUUGGUCGAGGCGCUUGAGGAAGUCAUGCGCGACAUUGGCCCCAUGGCAGAGGAAGAGGCUCGCAUCCUUUCUUCAGCCGCGCUGACGCGCGCCUUCAGCCACCUCCACCUUCACGAUCCUGCCGCCCGCCUUGACGAGCUGCCUCCCGUGGCUGAUGAACACUGCGCAGCUGCCGCCGCAACUGUGAAAGGUCAGGUGGAAGCCCUGCUGAAGAAGUUUGACGCCUUCGCCCCCGCGCCUUCGAUCGGUGGUGCAGGUGAAGGCGAUGCCACCCAGGAGGGGGCGCCUCUUGCGGGUGCCGGCGGUAUCCAGGGAUGACUGGCUUGCGGCUCCUUGCCUAUUGAAACUCCUGCAACAUGUAGCGUGCCUCAUGGAGGCGUUUAAACUUGUGUUUGAUAUUCGGAGAACAAUAUGUCUUGUAAUAUUUGCUUUGAGAUUUUGCGAUUACCUUUCCAUUUGCUUUACGUUCUACAUCAGCAGAGCCCGACCCUGCGCAUACCUCAACCGCUGUUGGGCCGAACGGAUCACCAGGAUGGACCAAGGAGUGAGGGGCUACGUGGUCAGUUCGGUUCCUGAGUCACGAUGCUCAGGAGUCCCCCUUGACGCGCAAACAACUUGUGGAAAGGAGAUGAAAUGGUAGGUCUUGUGUUCUACAUCGGCAGAGCCCGACCCCGCGCAUACCUCAACCACCAUUCGGCCGACCGGAUCACCAGGACGGACUAAGGAGUGAGGGGCUACGUGGUCAGUUAGGCUCCUGAGUUGCGAUGCUCAGGAGUCCCCCUUGACGUUCGAACGACAUUCAUACCUUGGCUCCGAUUGGGAGGCCGCGCGACAACCAGGUCCGCGGGACCUGGCAGGGUGGCGUGCGCUUGGGCGUGACCCGAGCGCCGCCCCCGUGCCUAGCCCCCUCACGCGGCUCUCUUGAGGGGAGGCAUUGCGAUGAGGCCAGACACCGAGCCCGGAGGCUCCCUGAGGUUGAUACGUCCGUGAGGCUGCCCUCAGUUGUUUAACACCAGGACGGCCAUGGCGCUUCCGCACUUGCACGGGCAUAGCCGCUCCUCAGUAGUGUCGACUACCAGCGCAGAGCAUGGUGCUCCCAUGGGUACGUGGGAGGGGACUCCCUACUACGGAGAGCCCCCGGGGCGUGUACAGCCCCGCCCUGACACGUGUCUUGCACGGUAGAGCUAGACGAGGUGUGUCUGGGCACUUGUGAGCCAGCGCGAGACUGACGAGGCCCUACCUCAAGGCAGGUUGUGCCUGUUCUUGAUUUUUGUUCGCUGUGGUGGUCCUGCGAGGCGGUUAGAAAACCUGUGGCAAACAAAUCUCCUGAGGUUAUCGCGUUAGAAGGCCAAGCAGCAACGGCCCCAGGAGGUGACGUGAACGGGGCCGUUGGAUUUAUCGACACCGCAGGGACGGGCCCAAGCACAUACGCCGUGCCUAACCCUCUCACGUGAAGGGUCCUGAAGAAAGACAAUCGGCGCGCGGAUCCCGUGGCAGGUGACAAUCAAGCAAGUGAGGUGACAGUCAUAGAUAGAAUAAGCAUGGAAAGCAAACUUGCUCAAGUAAACAUAGGGGAGAUACGUGCCACUGGGUCAGGCCCGAGCGGCAUGGGGAUGAUGCAGCCCGAGGGGCGCCCCUAGCAAGGUAAGCUAAAGACAUAAACAACAAAGUAUACAUGCCAUAUGGACGGACCCACGCGGCCUGGGAAUGAUGUAGUCCUGAGGGCACUCCCAGCUAAAUAAACUUGGGAAAUGUCACCUGAUUCUGUCGAUGGAGGGGUGUUGAGGCAGCUGAAGGUACGCAGCGAAGGGGUUGCUCCUCACGAGCCACCGGGGCUCUGAGCCUCGAGAGGCUCUGGGGGUCCAGGCGGUUCCUUGAGUACCGUCGCCAUCUCUACCAGGAUUGUGUGGUGACUGUCCUCCUGACCCACCAUGAUGCUCCACAGGUUCCACUGGAAGGCAGCAGCCAUGCUCGGCAGGCCGAAUGGCAUGCGAACGUAGUUGUGAGGUGGACCUUCGCAGCACCGAACAUGCGAAGGCCAGAAGCGCUCCUGAGAAGCGGCUCGGCUGAGCCCUGGUAUGUUGAUGCAGACGCGCAGCUCACCACCCUCGCCUGGGGGGAGCAGUGCCAAGUGGGCGGCAGUCGCCGCGUAUUGCUCUUGCUUCCUGAAGCUCCUGAGAUGCCUUGGUGAUGAACUCCUGAGCGCCAGGUGCUCCAUGCCCAGUGUCUCCGUGAGGGAGAUGUGCCGCGAAGAACGCCUCCAAGUGGUGCCCGAGCACCUCCCUCGUAACAUUCGCAAGGUCUAAGGCCCUCCAGAAAAGAGCCCCCGAGCCCUGCCCAAGGAGGGCGCCGGGCGCGCCUUCCUAUGCGACAGAGGGAGGUGCCCCCGGUGCAGGCGAUGAUCCUGAUGAGGUACCACUUGCGGCGUCGCCCUCCCGUGGUCCGGCAUGGAGUUGCUGCUUCUUCUCCUUGGGGACGACCUCAGGAGGGUACCGAGCUGCAUUAUUGUCGGGGUAUUCGAUUGAUGCUUCUUGGAAGGCACGCUUGAGGGAGUACACCGCAUCUAUUUUUUCGCAGGGGACUGUGAUGAUUCCACCGCUCCCUGGCAUCUUGAGGACGUUGUAGCCAUGGUGCGUCACUGCCAUGAAAUUGGCCAGGGCUGGAUACCCGAGGAUGGCAUUGUACGGCAAACGAAUGUGGGUGACGUCGAAGUCGAUGAGCUCAGUGCGGUAGUUGUUGCGUUCUCUAAAGGUGACGAGAAGGCGGACUUGCCCUAUCGGCAUGGUGGAGCCGUCAGUCACGCCCAAGAAGGGCUUAGUGGCUUGAAGCCGAUCGUAUGGCUCUUGAAGGUUGUCAAACGUCUCGACGGACAAGACGUUGUGCCCUACGCCGCCGUCGAUGAGGGUCUUGGUGACUUACACGUUGCUGAUGACGGGUGAACAAAGCAUUGGGAGAGCGUCGGCGGUGGCCGCGCAUUUGAGCUGGUCUGCUAAGCUGAAGGUAAUAGCGCACUUGGACCACCUGAGCGGGCGUGUAGCCUCGAGCUUGGGAAGAACUGCGUUCACCUCGCGAGCAAACUGCUUGAAGAUACGCUGUGAGGCUAGGGCUUGAGCUCCGCCCAAGAUGCAGGCGAUCACGCGGCUCCUGGAAGCCCCCAGCCCCAUCGUCCUGGUGGUGGUUGUCGUUCCUUCUUGGUGGUGGCAGUGGAGGAAGCCCAGCAUUGCCCUGAGGACGGUCCUCGUGAGGCUAAUCCCUCCAGGCACCUUCGUGAGGCUGAUCCUGCCAGCGGUUCUCACGAGGCUAGUUGCGCCACUCCUGGCGUGGGCCCCGAUCAUCCCAGCGUCCUCCGCCGCAUCCUCCUCCUCGGUCGUAGCCUCAGUCGUUGCGCUCGGGGCAUCGACCGAAGCGUCCAUCGCGAAUUGCCCUGAUCUCUUGGCAAUCGUUGGUGUUGAGGCUGUGUACGUUUUGGAAGGCGCAGAAUAGCCGGCUGCCCAUGGAUUGUCGGUGUUCUAGGAACAGGGGUCCCAGACUUUCCUGCCUGCGGCCCGUGACGUGGCUAAGCAAGCAGGCCGUACAACCCACCUUCAUCAACAAGGCAUCCAAGACCCUCGCGAGGCAAAGGACACAAGACCUCCUCUGGAGCGGCCUAGUCAAGUAGGCUCACGAGGAGUGGAGAUAACAACGCGAGGCGAACCUCACGAGGCUCUCGUGACAUGAGCCAUGACGAUCGACACCAGGCGGGCGCCAGGCGGGCUCCAGCGUGCGCAGCGUCCUUAUUUCCUCUUUGGUGCUAAGGAAACCAGUGCAGGCGAGGAGUACCGAGGCAUCAGGCAAAGGUUUCCAUUUUGGUGCAACAAGACCAAGACUAGAAGGACGGCAAGACGGAGGUCAUCGUGGAGCCCAAGACAGUGUCACCACCAGAGCCUUUUGCAGGCGCAGACCACCUUUUGUCAGGAUAGCUUGUACUAGCUGCCCCCCUUCAAAGUACACCUGUGUAGCGGCCUAGUGGGUACUGUCGGUGCUCUAUUCAGCCGCUCCUCUCACGUAGCUGGCCUACUAUAACACCCACGAUGCAGCUAUAUGUCCCACGUGUCGGGGCACGACUUAGAGGCAUAACCGCAUGCUAGGCAUGUCGCAAGUGGGGUAAUCUUUACACAUCCCAUGUACUGAAUAAGAAAGGGAUAAAGAGUCGGCUUAGAAUCGCCACUUCACACAAUACUUAAAAAUCUCAUACAUCAUCCAGAAUACAAUCAAUGUCCGACUAUGGAACCAAAAUAAAGAAAGACAACCCCAAAUGCUAGAUCCCCGAUCGCCCCAACUGGGCUCCACUACUAAUCAAAAGGAAAUGAAACAAAACAACGAUUAAGGACUUCAUUGAGCUGGGUUGCGUCACCUGCACUGGAAUCAACGGCACCUGCAUCUGUUUGGGACGUAUCUGUGAGUCACGAGGACUCAGCAAUCUCACACCCUCCUGAUCAAGACUAUUUAAGCUUAUGGGUAGGUAAGGUAGUGAGGUGGAGCUGCAGCAAGAAAUAGCAUGUAUGGUGGCUAACAUACGCAAAAGAGAGUGAGAAGAGAAGCAAAGCACGGUCGAGAGGCUAAAAUGAUCAAGAAGUGAUCCUGAAACUACUUACAUUCAAGCAUAACACGAGACUGUGUUCUUUGCCGGACUCCGCCGAAAAGAGACCAUCACGGCUAUACACGCAGUUGAUUAAUUUUAAUUAAGUUAAGUGUCAAGUUUUCUACAACCGGACAUUAACAAAUUCCCAUCUGCCCAUAACCACGGGCACGACUUUCGAAAGUUCAAAACCCGGCAGGGGUGUCCCAACUUAGCCCAUCACAAGCUCUCAUGGUCAAUGAAGGAUAUUCCUUCUCCCAGGAAGACCCGAUCAGACUCGGAAUCCCGGUUACAAGACAUUUCAACAAUGGUAAAACAAGACCAGCAAAGCCGCCCGAAUGUGCCGACAAAUCCCGAUAGGAGCUGCACAUAUCUCAUUCUUAGGUCACACCGGAUUGUCCAAGAUUCCGGUAGGCCAACCCAGAGUUGCCCCUGGUGGUCACCGGCGGCUGACAGGUUGGACCAACACUCAGAGGAGCACUGGCCCGGGGUUUAAAAUAAAGAUGACCAUUGAGUCUGCAGAACCCAAGGGAAAAAGGCUUAGGUGGCAAAUGGUAAAACCAAGGUUUGGCCUUGCUGGAGGAGUUUUAUUCAAUGCGAACUGUCAAGGGGUUCCCAUAACAUCCAACCGCGUAAGGAACGCAAAAUCAAGGAACAUAACACCGGUAUGAUGGAAACUAGGGAGGCAAGAGUGGAACUAAACACCAGGCAUAAGGCUGAACCUUCCACCCUUUACCAAGUAUAUAGGUGCAUUAAAGUAAAUAAGAUAUAAUAAUGAUAUCCCAACAAUAUCCAUGUUCCAACAUGGAGCAAAAUUCCAUCUUCACCUGCAACUAGCAACGCUAUAAGAGGGGCUGAGCAAAAGUGGUAACAUAUCCAAACAAAUGUUUGUUAGGAAAGGUGGGUUAGAGGCUUGACAUGGAAAUAUGGGAGGCAUGAUAUAGCAAGUGGUACGUAUCGCGGCAUAGCAAAAGAGCGAACAAUGAGCAAGCAAAGAUAGAAGUGAUUUCGAGGGUAUGGUCAUAUUGCCUAAGAUCCCGCAAGGAAGAAGAACGAGUCCAUGAAGAAGACAAACGGACGUAGUUGAACGGAUCCUCACAAACGCAACGUUACCGGAACUACCAAGAAGAAGUACACCAGAAAUAAAGCAAACAACAUAGUAAACAACCAUCAAAUAAACAUGGCAUGAUGCACAACCAAGUAUGAUGCAUGGCAUGGCAUAGUGCAACAAACAAUACUACAAAUUAAGUGGAGCUCAAUAUGCAAUGAGUUGCAUAUUGACGAAACACCACAUCAAUUAUUUAGUUCUCUCCCGUUUAUGUACCCAACAAUAUUAAAUGUUGUUUAGCAUGGCAAGAGGUGAAGCAUAAUUAAAUUAACGGUUUAGGCAAGUUUAAAUGAGGCCGGAACAACAAACAACAAUUUCGGGAAAUCCCCAUAUGCAUUAGCAAUUUAAUGCAACAACAAUUUAAACAUUCUUGAUGUUAUUAUCAUGAUGCAGAUGACAUUUGCAGGUUUAUGCAAGUAUAAGAAAAUGUUGACAUGAGCAUGUUAUGAAGCAUUUGUCAUUGUGGCGGAAACAAAAGGGGUGCCAUGGCGACAAUCACAAAAACGAUGCCACGACAACGUUCUGUUUCCGGUAACUCGAUUGAGAUGCCGGUGAAAAAGAUAGGGCAUGAGCGAGUUGAGCAAGAUGGUGGGGUGCUCCUGACUACCAGGUUCCCACCGGUUAGUGGCAUGGCUUACGACGAACGUGCAAGGAACAAAACGGACACGGUGCAAACAUAGGGUGCAUCUCAUACAACACAUGCAAUCGUUCUCGGACGGUCGUCUUGGGGUUAUACCUUCGAAGCAUGCAUUUCUGGACAGUUCAGGUUCGAUGUUAGCGGAAGUAGUGGUUCCCGGUUCGGAGGGGGACUUGACGAAUCCGAGUCCUUCGGGGUUCAAUGGUAGUGGUUCACGUUCUUAGUCGCACAAGUUUCCAUAGAUGUUCAGGGUCACGCGAGGAACUUGACGUCCAUGGAGUCUUCGCGGUUCGAUGGUACUUGACGUCCAAGUGGUCUCUGGGGUACUUGGCAUUUGUGCUACCCAGGUGUUCGGCACCUGAAGUUGUACAUGGUCCACGAGUCGUCGAUCAUUCGGGGUCUGACUUGCGUGUCAAAGCAGUGGCGACCCGAGGCCGCAGGUGACCAAGGCGGUGCAGCUCAUCUCCAUCGACGGGCAACCAUGUUGCUUCCUAGUUGGCGGAGGGCGUCGGCAGGAGACUGGCCCGGGGUGGCCUGGCCAUGGUCUUGUGGGCAAAGGGCGCAUGUGGAGAUGGCCACUUCGGUGGUGGCGCGGGAGGAAGGAGAGGCCGGCGUCGAGGAUGUCCGGGAGAAGGGGCGGACGAGGCGCGCGGCGCGAGGGCCCUGCUCCUCUGCGUGUGGCAGCGCAAGAGGACGAAGGGGAGAGGGACGAGGCUGACAAUGAAGUGUUGGGCCUCGGCUACUCGUGGAGGCUGACGCGGCUCUCCGGUGACGAGGAGAAGCAGGGAGAGAGGUGGCACGGGAGGUCCGACAUGGCGUCCUUGCGAGGCAAUGGUGUGGAGGGGGCGAGGUCGGGUCGAGGCGCAGGGGUCCUCUGCAAGGAGAAGCAGAGGCGGCAAGGCGGAGGAGGUCGCUGGCAGAGGAAUCGGGCGCGGGGGAGCUUGGCCAUGGGGAUCGGGAUCCCUCUCUCUGGUGUGUGCGUGUGUGCGGCGGAGGGAGACGAGGGAGAGGGAAAACAAGAGGAGAUCGAGGGAUCGAGUGGGCUAGGGUUAGGAUUAGAGAUGGGCCUUGGCUGGCCGGCCCAGUAGAGAGGGAGGGCUGCGCCUAGGGAGGCCGGAGGCUGGGCCUUAGGCCAAUUAGGUGGGGAGUGGAAAAAGGCCAGGAGGCCUGCUGGCUGUUGGGCUCCUUGUCUCUCUCUUACUCUUUUCAAAACAGAAAAAAUAAAGAGAAGAAAAGAAAGGUUAGAGAAAGACUUUGGGCAUGGGGAUAAUUUUCCUGGACUCGCAAAAAUGCACUGGUUCCAAGAAAAUAGAAAUGGCCAAGAUCGAACAAUAAGAAUUCAAACUCAUUUGAAUUUAAUUCAAAUGGGUUUGAACUAGGAUGAGGUUUUAGGAGUAUCCAAAAAUGUUGAGAAUUUUGGUAGAGCUCCGAAAAAUGGUAAAAGAAAUAUUGGCAAGGCUAGAGAGUCAAAACUUGAAGAAGAAAAGGCCAAGGGAUUUAAUAUGCAUGUGGGUUCAUGGGUAAUUCCAAAACAAUGGAAUAUUUUAUAAUAUCUCCCUAAAUAUCGGGAGGGUAUGUUUUAAAGAGAAACCACCAUGUGAGUUCCCUCAAUUUAAAUGGACCGAAGAUCCAUACUGUUUAUUUUGUUGAGUUGCAAAGAUUAAAGACAUGAUGACAUGAUGCAAUCCACAUGAUGCAGUGAUGAAUGCAACAAGCAAAAACAAAUCACACAACGAAUCUCGGAAACCCUAGAAGGCAUCUGAAGCUCUAGUCUUGGGGCGUCAUACCUACUCAGCCGCUCCUCUCUCACACACACUAGUAGCCUGUUUAUCAGCGACGGUUACUGCAGGGGGAGUACAUUUGAGUUAUUUGAUACAGAGAGACUAGGCUUUUUGCUUCCAUUUGUGGAGGUUUAAUGGAUCUCAUCGAACUUUGUUAGUAGUUCCUUCUUUAUGAAUGAGAUGAAGCAAAGCUUUUGCCUCUGUUUCAAAAAAACACGUCAAGAGGAAUUUCUUUUAUAGUAGAGCCGAUAACGGAGUGAAGUCCAUGCGUGCAACGCCACAAGCUACAGAGUAGUAGUAGAGAACUUUACAUACAGAGCCAUAUUGCACAGUUUCCAAUGCCCUACCAGGCUUUUCCGGCUCCUCGGGCUUAACUGGGAGGCGCUAGUUUAAAUAUGCUACUAGCUGAUGAGAAAGCUGCAAGCGAGGUGCGGCUAGGGAGAGCACGCGAGCCACAAGAUGCUAGGAAGGAAAACCCGUUCAUGUGGCUAGGCUAUCCAGUGCACCCAGAUUGUGGUGCCUCACGUCCAUUUGAAUUCAAAACUCAAACUACCCGUGUAAAAUAUUGGCUCGCAGCAAAGUUACUACUUAAAAAAAAGGCCGCCGUGCGUUCGGCCGGGAUCGAACCCACAAAACGAGGUAUACACUCCCGCGACCACUAGCAGUACUCGUUGGAGUACAACACAACCUAGGCCCUGUUUGGAUCCCUAAGUUAGAGUUAGUUUUAGUUAGUUGGGGCUCAAAUAACCCAAAAGUAUCCAAACAUGAUGGGUUAGUUUGGGUUAGUUGGAUCUAACCCACCCCAAAAAACUAGCCCAUACUAGUGGAGCUUAUUUGGGUUAGUUGUCCUAGGCCCACUAAAAAUAGUAAAAAAAGGUACCCCUCCCAUCCAAAUAGGGUCCAAAGUAGUGAAAUAUUUGAGAAAGAAUAUUUAUUGCCUAUCUAACCCUACCAUCCAAACAGCUCUUUUCUUAGAGUUAGUUUAGGGUUAGUUCAGGAUUAGAAUCUAACACUAACCUCUAAUGAGUUAGAGUAUCCAAACAGGGCCCUAGAAUCGCCUUUUGUCGCUAGUAGUACAUUGUUCCUUACAAGAAACCCCUAGUAAUGCAAGAAACCACUAAUAAUGCUAAGAAACUACUACCACUUUCGUACGUGGCAGAAUUAAGAUAAGACUACCAAAUCAACCAUUGUACAUGCUCUUACCAACCAGACCUAGCAAGAAAUGACUACUCUACAAAGUGCCGUUAUAGGCACGUUUCAACCAAUGGCCCUAUUUGGAUACAUUUUUUGUCAAUCUAACCCUGCCAUCCAAACACCACUUUGGUUAGAGUUAGUUCAGGGUUAGAAUCUAACUCUAACCUCUAACUUAGAGUAUCCAAACAGGGCCCAUGUGGCCCAUUAAGUCAAUGCCUUCUAUUCGACCGGGUGUUACGACUUGUGGGACCUACAUGUCAGUCUGCACAAAAAUCCCUGAGUUACCUCCUACCUCCGGCCCGUCAACCUAGUCAUCCUCGGCCAUGGGAUGCAGCUAUCGCCACCGGCAGAAGGCGAGGUCAAAACCGCCGGCAGUGCGGAGCCCAUCUUGCGGUAGCCCGGAUGCCAGCUCCAUCCAGCGCUCGCAGCUGCUAGCUAGCUAAGAUAGCUCCAUCCAGCUGCUUGUCUGGAAGGUUUGCUAGCUAGAUUGGCACAACGGUGCGGCGGCUUGCUCACGCGUGCCGAACUAAGGCCAGCCAUCUGGCUCGAGCGAAGGCCAGCGCGGCGGCUUGCUCGCUCGUGAGUCAUGCUCGGGCCAGCCUGCUGCUACCUCUUGAGCACAGCGUUCGAUUUGCUGUAAGAGGAAAGGAUGAUGCAGCACAGUAGCAUAAGUAUUUCCCUCAGUUUUUGAGAACCAAGGUAUCAAUCCAGUAGGAGUCUACACGCAAGUCCCUAGUACCUGCACAAAACAAAUAACUCCUCGCAACCAACGCGAUAAGGGGUUGUCAAUCCCUUCACGGUCACUUACGAGAGUGAGAUGUGAUAGAUAUGAUAAGAUAAUUUUUUUGGUAUUUUUAUGAUAAAGAUGCAAAGUAAAAUAAAGGCAAAGUAAAAAAGCAAAGGAAAUAACUAAGUAUUGGAAGAUUAGUAUGAUGAAGAUAGACCCGGGGGCCAUAGGUUUCACUAGUGGCUUCUCUCAAGAGAAUGAGUAUUUUACGAUGGGUGAACGAAUUACUGUUGAGCAAUUGACAGAAUUGAGCAUAGUUAUGAGAAUAUCUAGGUAUGAUCAUGUAUAUAGGCAUCACGUCUGAGACAAGUAGACCGACUCCUGCCUGCAUCUACUAUUAUUACUCCAAUCAUCGAUCGCUAUCUAGCAUGCAUCUAGAGUAUUAAGUUCAUGAAAACAGAGUAACGCCUUAAGCAAUAUGACAUGAUAAAAAAACCAUAUUGUUAUCCUCGAUGGCAACAAUACAAUACGUGCCUUGCUGCCCCUACUAUCACAGGGAAAGGACACCGCAAGAUUGAACCCAAAGCUAAGCACUUCUCCCAUUGCAAGAAAGAUCAAUCUAGUAGGACAAACCAAACUGAUAAUGCGAAGAGACUUGCAAAGAUAACCAAUCAUACAUAAAAUAAUUCAAAGAAGAUUCAAAUAUUGUUCAUAGAUAAUCUUGAUCGUAAACCCACAAUUCAUCGGUCUCAACAAACACACCGCAAAAAGAAGAUUACAUCGAAUAGAUCUCCACAAGAGAGGGGGAGAACAUUGUUUGAGAUCCAAAAAGAGAGAAGAAGCCAUCUAGCUAAUAACUAUGGACCCUAAGGUAUGAGGUAAACUACUCACACUUCAUCGGCGAGGCUAUGGUGUUGAUGUAGAAGCCCUCCGUGAUGGAUGCCCCCUCCGACGGAGCUCCGGAACAGGCACCAAGAUGGGAUCUCGUGGAUACAGAAGGUUGCGGCGGUGGAAUUAGGUUUUUGGCUCCGUAUCUGAUCGUUUGGGGGUACGUAGGUAUAUAUAGGAGGAAGGAGUACGUCGAUGGAGCAACAGGGGGCCCACGAGUGUGGAGGGCGCGCUUGGGGGGGGGGGUAGGCGCUCCCCCUACCUCGUGGCCUCCUCCUUUAUUUCUUGACAUAGGGUCCAAGUCUCCCGGAUCAUGUUCAGUGAGAAAAUCACGUUCCCGAAGGCUUCAUUCCAUUUGGACUCCGUUUGAUAUUCCAUUUCUUCGAAACCCUAAAAUAGGCAAAAAAAAACACCAAUUCUGGGCUGGGUCUCCGGUUAAUAGGUUAGUUCCAAAAAUAAUAUAAAAGUGGAUAAUAAAGCCCAAUAAUGUCCAAAACAGUAGAUAAUAUAGCAUGGAGCAAUCAAAAAUUAUAGAUACGUUGGAGAUGUAUCAAGCAUCCCCAAGCUUAAUUCCUACUCGUCCUCGAGUAGGUGAAUGAUAAAAACAGAAUUUUUGAUGUGGAAUGCUACUUGGCAUAAUUUUAAUGUAAUUCUUCUUAAUUGUGGUAUGAAUAUUCAAUCUGAAAGAUUUAAGAUAAAAGUUUAAUAUUGACAUAAAAAUAAUAAUACUUCAAGCAUACUAACAAAGCAAUCAUGUCUUCUCAAAAUAACAUGGCCAAAGAAAGUUAUCCCUAGAAAAUCAUAUAGUCUGGCUAUGCUCUAUCUUCACCACACAAAGUAUUUAAAUCAUGCACAACCCCGAUGACAAGGCAAGCAAUUGUUUCAUACUUUUGACAUUCUCAAACUUUUUCAAUCUUCACGCAAUACAUGAGCGUGAGCCAUGGAUAUAACAGUAUAGGUGGAAUAGAAUGGUGGUUGUGGAGAAGACAAAAAAGGGGAAGAUAGUCCUACAUCAACUAGGUGUACCAAUGGGCUAUGGAGAUGCCCAUCAAUAGAUAUCAAUGUGAGUGAGUAGGGAUUGCCAUGCAACGGAUGCACUAGAGCUAUAAGUAUAUGAAAGCUCAAAAAGAAACUAAGUGGGUGUGCCUCCAACUCGCUUGCUCACGAAGACCUAGGGCAAUUUGAGGAAGCCCAUCAUUCGAAUAUACAAGCCAAGUUCUAUAAUGAAAAAUUCCCACUAGUAUAUGAAAGUGACGAAAUGAGAGACUCUCUAUCAUGAAUAUCAUGGUGCUAAUUUGAAGCACAAGUGUGGUAAAAGGAUAGUAGCAUUGUCCCUUCUCUCUUUUUCUCUCAUUUUUUUAUUUGGGCCUUUUCUCUUUUUUAUGGCCUCUUUUCUUUUUUCUUUUUUUAUUGUUCGUCCGGAGUCUCAUCCCGACUUGUGGGGGAAUCAUAGUCUCCAUCAUCCUUUCCUCACUGGGACAAUGCUCUAAUAAUGAUGAUCAUCACACUUUUAUUUUCUUACAACUCAACAAUUACAACUUACUUAGAACAAAAUAUGACUCUAUGUGAAUGCCUCCGGCGGUGUAUCGGGAUAUGCAAUGACUCAUGAGUGACAUGUAUGAAAGAAUUAUGAAUGGUGGCUUUGCCACAAAUACGAUGUUAACUACAUGAUCAUGCUAAGCAAUAUGACAAUGAUGGAGUGUGUCAUAAUAAACGGAAUGGUGGAAAGUUGCAUGGCAAUAUAUCUCGGAAUCGCUAUGGAAAUGCCACAAUAGGUAGCUAUGGUGGCUGUUUUGAGGAAGGUAUAUGGUGGGUGUAUGAUACCGGCGAAAGGUGUGCGGUAUUAGAGAGGCUAGCAAUGGUGGAAGGUAGAAAAGUGUGUAUAAUCCAUGGACUCAACAUUAGUCAUGAAGAACUCACAUACUUAUGGCAAAAAUCUACAAGUUAUCAAAGCAAAGUAUUACGCGCAUGCUCCUAGGGGGAUAGAUUGGUAGGAAAAUACCAUCGCUCGUCCCCGAUCGCCUCUCAUAAGGAGGACAAUAAAUAAAUAAAUCAUGCUCCGACUUCAUCGCAUAACGGUUCACCAUACGUGCAUGCUACGGGAAUCACAAACUUUAACACAAUUAUUUCUCAAAUUCACAACUACUCAACUAGCACAACUUUAAUAUCACCAUCUUCAUAUCUCAAAAAAAAAUUUAAAACAAUUAUCAAGCAUCAAAUUUCUCAUAGCAUUCAACACACUCAUAAGAAGGUUGUUACUAUUCUUGAAUACCAAGCAUAUUAUGAUUCUAAGCAAAUUACCAUGCUAUUUAAGACUCUCAAAAUAAUCUAAGUGAAGCAUGAGAGAUCAAUAGUUUCUAUAAAACAAAUCCACCACCGUGCUCUAAAAAAUAUAAGUGAAGUACUAGAGCAAAACUAUAUAACUCAAAUGAUAUAAGUGAAGCACAUAGAGUAUUCUAACAAAUUCCAAAUCAUGUAUGGCUCUCUAAAAACGUGUGUACAGCAAGGAUGAUUGUGGUAAACUAAAAAGAAAAUACUCAAAUCAUACAAGACGCUCCAAGCAAAACACAUAUCAUGUGGUGAAUAAAAAUAUAGCUCCAAGUAAAGUUAUCGAUAGAAGUAGACGAAAGAGGGGAUGCCUUCCGGGGCAUCCCCAAGCUUUGGCUUUUAGGUGUCCUUAGAUUAUCUUGGGGGUGCCAUGGGCAUCCCCAAGCUUAGGCUCUUGCAACUUCUUGUUCCAUAAUCCAUCAAAUCUUUACCCAAAACUUGAAAACUUCACAACACAAAACUUAAAGUAGAAAAUCUCGUGAGCUCCGUUAGCGAAAGAAAACAAAAGACCACUUCAAGGUACUGUGCUGAACUCAUUAUUUAUUUAUAUUGGUGUUAAACCUACUGUAUUCCAACUUCUCUAUGGUUUAUAAACUAUUUUACUAGCCAUAGAUUCAUCAAAAUAAGCAAACAACACACGAAAAAACAGAAUCUGUCAAAAACAGAACAGUCUGUAGUAAUCUGUAGCUAGCGCAAGAUCUGAACCCCAAAAAUUCUAAAGUAAAUUGCUGUACGUGAGGAAUUUAUCUACUAAUCAUCUUCAAAAAUAAUUAACUAAAUAUCACUUUCCAAAUAAAAAUGACAGCAGUUCUCGUGAGCUCUAAAGUUUCUGUUUUUUACAGCAAGAUAUUAAGACUUUCCCCAAGUCUUCCCAACGGUUCUACUUGGCACAAACACUAAUUAAACACAAAAACACAAAAAAACAGAUGCUAGGUAAAUUAUUUAUUACUAAACAGGAUCAAAGGAAGGAAUAAAAAUUAAAUUGGGUUGCCUCCCAACAAGCGCUAUCGUUUAACGCCCCUAGCUAGGCAUAAAAAAUAAGGAUAGAUCUAGGUAUUGCCAUCUUUGGUAGGCAAUCCAUAAGUGGCUCUCAUAAUAGAUUCAUAAGGUAAUUUAAUUUUCUUUCUAGGAAAGUGUUCCAUGCCUUUCCUUAACGCAAAUUGGAAUCUAAUAUUUCCUUCCUUUGUAUCAAUAAUUGCACCAAUCAUUCUAAGGAAAGGUCUACCAAGAAUAAUAGGACAUGAAGGAUUGCAAUCUAUGUCAAGAACAAUAAAAUCUACGGGCACAUAAUUCCUAUUUGUGACAAUGAGAACAUCAUUGAUUCUUCCCAUUGGUUUCUUAAUAGUGGAAUCCGCAAGGUGCAAGUUUAAAGAGCAAUCAUCAAAAUCAUGGACACCUAACAAAUCACACAAGGUCUUUGGAAUCCUGGAAACACUAGCACCCAAAUCACAUAAAGCAUAGAACUCAUGAUCUUUAAUCUUAAUUUUAAUAGUUGGUUCCCACUCAUCAUAAAGUUUUCUAGGGAUAGAAACUUCCAACUCAAUUUUUUCUUCAUAAGAUUGCAUCAAGGCAUCAACGAUAUGUUUAGUACACGCUUUAUUUUCACUAUAAGCAUGAGGAGAAUUUAGCACGGAUUGCAACAAGGAAAUACAAUCAAUCGAAGAGCAGUUUUCAUAAUUAAAUUCUUUGAAAUCCAAAAUAGUGUGUUUAGCAACAUCUAGGGUUUUAAUUUGUUCAAUCCCACUUUCAUCAAAUUUAGCAUCAAGAUCUAAAAACUCCGAAUUUUUGGAACGCCUUCUAGGUAAAGGUGGAUCAUAUUCAGUCCCAUCAUUAUCAAGAUUCAUAUUGCAAAACAAAGAUUUAAUAGGGGACACAUCAAUAACUUUUAGAUCUUCAUCUUUAUUUUCGUAGGUAAUAGAAGAACACGCUCUUAUAAAGGCAUCUUUCUUAGCACGCAUCCUAGCGGUUCUUUCUUUGCACUCAUCAAUGGAAAUUCUCAUGGCUUUGAGAGGCUCAUUGAUAUCAUGCUUAGGAGGAAUAGAUCUAAGCUUUAAAGAAUAAACAUCAAGAGAAUUUCUAUCAACGUUCCUAGCCAACUCAUCAAUCUUAAGCAAUUUUUCUUCAAUCAAAGCAUUGAAAUUAUUUUGCGAAGUAAUAAAUUCUUUAAUAUUAGAUUCAAAAUUAGAGGGCAUCUUACUAUAAUUUCCAUAAGAAUUAUUGUAGGAAUUACCAUAAUUAUUAGAGGGAUUACUAGGAUAAGGCCUAGGAUUAAAAUUUCCUCUAUACGCGUUGUUAACAAAAUUGUUCCUACCAAUAAAAUUCACAUCCAUAGAUUCAUUAUUAUUCUCAAUCAAAGUAGACAACGGCAUAUCAUUAGGAUCAGAAGAAACACUCUUACUAGCAAAUAAUUUCAUAAGUUCAUCCAUCUUUCGACUCAAAACAUUAAUUUCUUCUAUCGCAUGCACCUUUUUAUUAGUAGAUCUUUCAGUAUGCCAUUGAGAAUAAUUAACCAUAAUAUUAUCUAGGAGUUUAGUAGCUUCUCCUAAAGUGAUUUCCAUAAAAGUGCCUCCCGCGGCCGAAUCUAAAAGAUUUCUAGAAGCAAAAUUAAAUCUGGCAUAAAAAAUUUGUAUAAUCAUCCACAAAUUCAAACCAUGAGUAGGGCAAUUACAUAUCAUUAAUUUCAUUCUCUCCCAAGCUUGUGCAACAUGUUCAUGAUCAAGUUGCUUAAAAUUCAUAAUAUCGUUUCUAAGUGAGAUGAUCUUAGCGGGAGGAAAAAACUUAGAGAUAAAAGCAUCUUUGCACUUGUUCCAAGAAUCAAUACUAUUUUUAGGCAAAGACGAAAACCAAGCUUUAGCACGAUCUCUAAGCGAAAAAGGAAAUAGCUUCAACUUAACAAUAUUGUUGUCUACAUCUUUCUUAUUUUGCAUAUCACACAAAUCAAUGAAGCUAUUUAUGUGGGUAGCGGCAUCUUCACUAGGAAGGCCGGAAAUCAGAUCUUUCAUGACAAGAUUUAGCAAAGCGGCAUUAAUUUCACAAGAUUCAGCAUCGGUAAGAGGAGCAAUCGGAGUGCUAAAAAAAUCAUUGUUGUUGGUAUUGGUAAAGUCACACAAUUUAGUGUUAUCUUGAGCCAUCGUGACAAGCAAGCAAUCCAACACACAAGCAAAGAAAAAGAAAGUGGGCAAAAAGAGGCAAAUAGAGAAAGAGAGGGAGGAUAGAGAGAGAGAGAGGGCGAAUAAAACGGCAAGGGUGAAGUGGGGGUGAGGAAAACAAGAGGCAAAUGGCAAAUAAUGUAAUGCGGGAGAUAAGGGUUGUGCUGGGUACUUGGCAUGUCGACUUUUGCGUAGACUCCCCGGCAACGGCGCUAGAAAUGGCUCGUUGUCGGGAGUCAAAUCUUGACUUGCGCGAACCUCCCCGGCAACGGUGCCAGAAAUUCUUCUUGCUAACUCUUGAGCACUGUGUUGGAUUUCCUUGAAGAGGAAAGGAUGAUGCAGCAAAGUAGCAUAAGUAUUUCCCUCAGUUUUUGAGAACCAAGGUAUCAAUCCAGUAGGAGGCUGCACGCAGGUCCCUAGUACCUGCACAAAACAAAUAACUCCUCACAACCAACGCGAUAAGGGGUUGUCAAUCCCUUCACGGUCACUUACGAGAGUGAGAUCUGAUAGAUAUGAUAAGAUAAUAUUUUUGGUAUUUUUAUGAUAAAGAUGCAAAGUAAAAUAAAAGCAAAGUAAAAAAGCAAAGGAAAUAACUAAGUAUUGGCAGAUUAAUAUGACAAAGAUAGACCUGGGGGCCAUAGGUUUCACUAGUGGCUUCUUUCAAGAGCAUGAUUAUUUUACGGUGGGUGAACGAAUUACUGUUGAGCAAUUGAUAGAAUUGAGCAUAGUUAUGAGAAUAUCUAGGUAUGAUCAUGUAUGUAGGCAUCACGUCCGAGAAAAGUAGACCAACUCCUGCCUGCAUCUUCUACUAUUACUCCACUCAUCGACCGCUAUCUAGCAUGCAUCUAGAGUAUUAAGUUCAUGAAAACAGAGUAACGCCUUAAGCAAUAUGACAUGAUGUAGAGGGAUAAAUUCAUGCAAUAUGAUAAAAAAACCAUCUUGUUAUCCUCGAUGGCAACAAUACAAUACGUGCCUUGCUGCCCCUACUGUCACUGGGAAUGGAAACCACAAGAUUGAACCCAAAGCUAAGCACUUCUCCCAUUGCAAGAAAGAUCAAUCUAGUAGGCCAAACCAAACUAAUAAUUCGAGGAGACUUGCAAAGAUAACCAAUCAUACAUAAAAGAAUUCAGAGAAGAUUCAAAUAUUGUUCAUAGAUAAUCUUGAUCAUAAACCCACAAUUCAUCGAUCUCAACAAACACACCGCAAAAAUUAGAUUACAUCGAAUAGAUCUCCACAAGAGAGGGGGAGAACGUUGUAUUGAGAUCCAAAAAGAGAGAAGAAGCCAUCUAGCUAAUAACUAUGGACCCGAAGGUCUGAGGUAAACUACUCACACUUCAUCGGAGAGGCUAUGGUGUUGAUGUAGAAGCCCUCCGUGAUGGAUGCCCCCUCCGGCGGAGCUCCGGAACAGUCCCCAAGAUGGGAUCUCGUGGAUACAGAAGGUUGCGGCGGUGGAAUUAGGUUUUUGGAUCUGUAUCUGAUCGUUUGGGGGUACGUAGGUAUAUAUAGGAGGAAGGAGUACGUCGGUGGAGCAACAAGGGGCCCACGAGGGUGGAGGGCGCGCCUGGGGGGGAGGCGCGCCCCGUACCUCGUGGGCUCCUCCUUUAUUUCUUGACGUAGGGUCCAAGUCUCCCAGAUCAUGUUCGGUGAGAAAAUCACAUUCCCGAAGGUUUCAUUCCGUUUGGACUCUUUUGAUAUUCCUUUUCUUCAAAACCCUAAAAUAGGCAAAAAAACAGCAAUUCUGGGCUGGGCCUCCGGUUAAUAGAUUAGUCCCAAAAAUAAUAUAAAAGUGGAUAGUAAAGCCCAAUAAUGUCCAAAACAGUAGAUAAUAUAGCAUGGAGCAAUAAAAAAUUAUAGAUAUGUUGGAGACGUAUCACCUGCCAACCCGUGCGGAGGCUAGUGCGGCGUCCGGCCCGUCCGGUAGAGCGGCGGCCAACUCGCUCAUCACGGGCACCACCGACGAAAUCGCAUCAGUGCUGUUUGAAGUAAUGUUCAGGAAAAAUAAUGAUUUGAGGGGGAAUAACAGGAUAGAAGGUCAGAUGUGGGUCCCUCGUGUCAACGAUCAAACAACAUGUGUUGGUUUAAGCUGCCUCGUCAGCAUGGACGUGUGGGCCAAUCCUGUCAUAAAUGGGUUUAAACUAACCUAAUCAACACUCCCUCUGUCCCAUAAUAUAAGAUGUUUUGGCAAGCUAAACUAGCUUGCAAAAACGUCUUACAUUGUGGGAUGGAGGGAGUACUAGGUAGUAGUUUUUGGCGUGGAUUAGGAAAUUUUGGGUAUGUUUUUGCUAUUUUUUGUACAAUACAUUCUUACUAGGGCUGGUUGAAAGUGGUAGUUUUUUGUUAAAUACUCUACAUAUUGUAACUAGGAGCGAAAGUUAAGCUUUGGAACCCAAUAAGCAAGGCUAGUUACAUAGUGCAUAUGUGUACAUGAUUGAAAGUAAAUAUCAACCAUGAGUGAUUAAUAUCUUGAUGGAAAACUCGAAACUAUGGAAUACUAGGAAAAAAAUUGCAUGGUUGGAAAUACGAGCAAUGUUCACGUGCGUUCCAAUGAAUCAUAAUUAGAAUAAUACUUAUUCACAAACUUGAUACAAAACACUCUAAUUUUGAUGUACAUAUAUCACUAGAGAUAUAUUAUGUUUCAAUUAGAAUAUAUUCCUUGGGCUGUUUUGGUGAGGUCAGGGAGGGAUGUGGUUAGUUUUAAGAUACUACUUAUGGGUUUUUCUGCAAAUUGGUAGACAAGUGGGAUGUUGGUGAGAAAAGGCAACAACCUACCUCAUAGUCGUUAGAUGUAGAUCUAAUGGUCACAAACGACGGAUGGCAGACACACCAUCAUCACCAACUUUGUCACACCCUAGCUAGUCAUGCAUUAGAGUGUUGCAUCAUGUUUACUCAUUCAUCAGAAACUUGAAAUGGGGAUGACAGAACCCCCAGUCCCCUCUGAAACCAACUAGGGUUACUAAAAUAAUUUUUCAAUGAACCUGAAAUGCCCUUCUAAAAUGCCCAUCAUUUUUGUCUUGGUUCAGAACCUCUGCCAAAAAUGGUGCACAUUUUCCUAGGCCAUCCUAGGGUUUUUGAAUUAAAUCAUAAAUAUUUGAAUUUGGGCAUUUAAAAUAGUAUAAAAUAUUUAAAUGCUCAAAUAUCUCCAAACUAAAAUGUUUCAUGUUGGAAAUAAUCCAACUAUGGGCCAGGAAUAGUUUGGCGAUUUUUGAAGUUGCCUAGGUAUUUUAUUAAAUUCAACAAAGUUGCAGAUAUAUAUUAAAUAAAACAGAAACAGAAGAAAAGGGGAAAACUUACCUUGGCUCCUCCACUGUGCGGCCCAGCCAGCAGCCGACCCAGCCCAACACUGCAGCCCUCCGUCGUCUUCCUCCCCUCGCCCCGAAGCUGCUGCGUGCUCGCGCGCGCACGGCCGCGCGGCCACCUCCUGCUUGCCGACGAGCUCCUGGCCGCGUGGACGACUCCCGCAGGCCGUCCCGAUCCCCCCUGCUCUCUCUCACUCUCCCCCGGCUCUUCCUUCCUCUCCCUCGCUCUCUCUCUCACACGGCCGAACACCACCGUCGCCGCUGUUCGCCGUAGCAGCCAUCUCCGGCCACCCCUCGCUCCCCCGACUAGCUCAGAAGCUCCGCCACAACCCCCUCUUCCUCCCCACCGCUCCACAGCUCCCCGGAAGCCCGGCAUCGCCGCCACGUCGCCGUUCCCCUCUUCGGGCUCCGAUCAUCGUCGCCGUCGAAUUCGCCAUCUCCAGCGCGUCCCCGAGCCCGCUAACCAUCCCUGCAGCUCCGCGGUGAGCCCCCGGAUCGUUUCCCCCUUCUCCCCUGGUCUCUCCCGACCUCUAGGCCCUAGCCCCACCUUGGCCGAGAGCUCCACGCCGCCGGCGAUGUCGCCGUCGUGGCCACGGUCACCGUAGCACCCAACCGAGCACACUAUCGUGCUCUACACCUCACUAGGAUCACGCAGCACACACUAGCGCCUCCCCAAACCCUCUGCAACAUCGAUCCCGACCGCACCCGAACUCCGGUCGCCGCAGCCGAGCUCGCCGCCGUCAACUCCGGCCACCCCGAGCCCAACCACCACCACCAAUAGUCGCGGCUCAACCUCGGCAACACGUAGAUGCCUUCCGCCGUCCAUUUGGUUGCCGGAAUGGCAAAAAGCACUUUCGCCGCCGUCUCGGACCUCGCCGGCGUCAUGUCGCCGGUGGGGUUUGACUUGUCCGACCUGGGGUUUGACCCCCCAGGGUCACUGACGCGUGGGCCCUGUCGGCCAGGUGGUUAGAUUAGCGCUAACUACUGUUAGUCAACCCCCCCUGACACUGACAGUGGGCCCCAGCGCCACUAAUCCCUAAUUAGGAUUAAUUUAAACCUGUUUAACCCCCCCUGUCACUGACGUGUGGCCCCCACACGUCAGGUUUGACUUCAGCCAGCCGCAGUUGACCACUGACGUCAUGCUGACGUCAUGCUGGCGCAAUAAUUAUAUUUCUGGAUUUAAAUUAAAUCAGGAAAUUCCAGAAUAUUAUUUAAACUUCAAAAAUUCAUAACUUUUAUUCUGUAACUCCAAAUUGGACAAAUUAUAUAUGAAAAAUGAUCAGAAAAAUCCAAUCUAUCCAUCCGUACUAUUUUCAUGCAUGAUCAAACAAGUUAAAUUGAUGUUUUAAGCAGAACAAGGAAAAGCACUUUAAAAGGCCAUGUUUGAGUUUGAAAUUUGAAUCUUUGAUUCAAAUUUGUUCAAACCCUUCUGGUUUUAGUUGCAUUAGCCCAACACACUCAUAUUGCCAUGUUUCAUGCAUGCAUCAUAUUGUUGCACAUUGUUUGGUGAUGCUUGUGUAUCGAUGUCCUUUGCGACAGGUUCUGUCCCCGAGGAAUACCGUGAUUACCCUAACGAAGAACCAUAUCAGUGCAUCGAACCAUCAGGCAAGCAACCAACCAUUUGAUCAUAUCGAUACAAUCCCAUGUUCUCGCUCCUGCUCUCUUUUACUGCAUUAAGACAACGCGAUUCAAACUACUGUGUGCUACGGUAGUUGAACCCAUUUCCUCUGCAUGACCUGUCAUUGCCACAGUAACUAGAUGAAACCCACUAGCAUGUGUAGGAGUUGAUUGAGCCCUAUGUAUGUGUUGUUCCUACCUUGCUAUGCCUGCUAUGCUUAGAGUCGUGUCAGGUCUGGUUCAUCUGGGUGAUGGGCUGGAGUGAAAUGUUAUGUCGGUAAUGAGAGUGGUGUGGUGAACACGAUUUGGUAAAGGUAUCGAUGAGAGGCCAUGUAGGAGUACAUGGUGGGUUGUUUCAUUGAAGCCGACCUUAAGCACUGAGAUCUGUAUGUGUGAUUUAAGAUACAGCUACUACCAUGCAUUGGGCCCUGAAAUAUGACCCCGCUCGACUUCUUAUUCACCCUAGCUCUCUGUCCAGGAGUUGCAAGUAGUUUCUGGUGUUUUUAGCCUACUGGAGGCCGUGGACAGCGCUGACCGUAGGGGUGGGCUGUGAUGCGGUAGGUACGUGGCACGGUGUACCGAAUACCCGUUAGGUAUCUCGGGAACCCUGUUCACAUCGUUCGGGGCCGUAUGGGAAACCUCGGCCGGACUCCCUGCGGAUGGAACCUGAAUAGGCGAUAAACCUGGACUAGAGGCUUAAGUGUUUAGGUAGGUCGUGGUCUACACCCACGUCGGCUUUCGCUUGAAGUCUGCCGAGCACAUGUCGUGUGCAGACGCUAAGUGGUGGAAACAUGUAUGAAGAAGUACACCCCUGCAGGGUUAACAUGAUCUAUUCGAAUAGCCGCGUCCGCGGUAAAGGACUACUUGGUUGCCUAUACAGUUCAUAGACAAGUAAAUGGAAACUACUAAAAGCCUCAAGAUAAGUGUGAGUGCCGAGGAUGGCUCUUCCGUAGGAAGACGGAGGUGGAUCCUCGGUAGUGUAUUGAAGUGGUGAAUAGUGGACUCGUGUGCGCAAAACAAUUUCAACUUGGAGUAUCGUAGGAUAGUCUAGCCAAGAGUCAAAGCUGGCUUGCUGCAAUAACUCCACCAACCCUUCUUGAUACUAUGCAUGUAUGUAGGAUCUGAUGUAAGUCUUGCUGAGUACCUUUGUACUCAUGUUGCUAUAAUCUACAUUUUUACAGAAGACGCUGCAACCCCUUCUGAUGGGUUCUAUGUAGACGUUGACAUCAACGAGUAGGCUAAAGACCCAGGUGGUGACCCUGAGCUUGUGAAGGACCACGUAGUAUAGCUAGGCUUUCCAAGCCUCUUUUAUUUUACUAGUUGUCUGUACUCAGACAAGUUACUUCCGCUGCUGGUUUGUAUGACUGUAUGACUUGUAUGUUGGGUCGUGAGACCCGUACCUUUGUGUAUGAUAUGUAUGGCUCCCUGAGCCUUAAAUAAAGUACUUGUGUCAUAGAGUCAUGUUGUGAUGCUUCGUUGUAUUUGCACAUAUCGAGCAAAUUGUGUGUAUGAUUGAAAUGCUUGGUAUGUGUGGGAUCUGACUAUCUAGUUGUUUAUCUUUAGUAGCCUCUCUUACCGGGAAAUGUCUCCUAGUGUUACCGCUGAGCCAUGGUAGCUUGCUACUGCUCUGGAACACUUAGGCUGGCCGGCAUGUGUCCUUCUUCGUUCCUGUGUCUGUCCCUUCGGGGAAAUGUCACGCUUUGAGUACCGGAGUCCUGUUAGCCCGCUACAGCCCGGUUUACCGGAGUCCUGCUAGCCCAGUGCUACAGCCCGGACCCACUUGCUGAUGACCGACACGUUCGAAGCUGGGUCAUGGAUGCCUGUCCCUGUAAGUCUGUGCCACUUUGGGUUUACGACUAGUCAUGUCAGCCCGGGCUCCUUAUCAUAUGGAUGCUAGCGACACUAUCAUAUACGUGAGCCAAAAGGCGCAAACGGUCCCGAGAAAAGGUAAGACGACACCCGUGGGGAUACCGUGCGUGAGGCCGCAAAGUGAUAUGAGGUGUUACCAGCUAGAUCGAUGUGACAUCGAGUCGGGGUCCUGACAGCGUUGGCAUCAGAGCCGGACUGCCUGUAGGUUCUCCAAGCCAAACUGGUCGAUGUUGAGUCUAGAAAUUCUUUAGUUAUAUGUAGGGGAAUUGUUUGUGGGUUGGAACGUAAGGCUCUUUUUACUCCUUAUACCUUAUGACAUUCUGAUCUGGGUCAGUCCAUUCUUCCACCGGGGGUUAAGGAAUUAGGAUCUGUUCUCUCUAUCAGGAUCACGAGUUACUAAUCAGUAGUACCUUAUAAGUUUGAUGGAUACAAGCCUAGUUCAGUUCUACUACCACAUUAUGUUGCCAGAAUAGUUUCAGAACUUUGAUAUGGUGAUGUUGAGUGUGUACGAAAUCCUUUGGUCAAAUGUCUCAAAUCCUUUUUGAGCAUUUACAGCUGUUAUGCUGCCGAAAUUUUGCUAGAAAUUCUAAUGCCUUUGCAUUAUGAUUGUGCUUUCAGAUGGCCACUCGCGACCUUAAUCAAGUGGUUCGCCUGACUCGAUGCCUAGAUUUACCCGGCCAUACUGCUAAGUUGGUCAGGGUAAUGACUGAGGCUGGAUACCGCUGGUAUCCCGAGUACACGGUCGAAGAGCAAUUCCGAGAUUUUAAUCAAAGCCAGUAUCUCUGCACUGUCAGGAUAUUUCCAUCUUAUCCUGGAUCCACCGAGCCUCUUCACUGCUCCUAUGGACUCGGGGUUACCAUUGAGAUGGCUGUGCAGGACGCCGCCUACUCUAUGAUGACCAUUAUGCGAAUCAGAUCUGGUCUAUUCCGGGACUCUGACUUCCGGUAUAUGCCAGGAUCACUUCCGGGAGCACAAGGGUAUCUCCAGGCUAUCUAUGCUGACUCCACUCAGGAGGAUUCACGGACUCGCACCACUGCUGAGAUGCUCGAGGAUAAGGACCGUGAAAAUCGGGCCUUGAGGUUAGAGCUCUUCAAUACCCGUGCUGACCACUGGGCCACUUUGACUCGUUUCGCACCGGCGGUGCAAGCUGGAUAUUCAGAUAUGCACGAUCUCUAUCCUGUGAGAUCUGCUCUGCCAGACGUGAUGGUUUGGCGUGAUGUAGGAGGCAUCACCCCACCUCGCGGUCCCCGCAGGCCACCGUUUGUUGGUCCAAGGCCUCAUCCUAGCCCCUAUGGUCCACAAGCUCCGCGAGACCGUCUGUUUCCGGAUGAUCAUGUUGAGCUUCCAGGCUAUGGAGGUGACUUCUACGAGGACUACUACGGAUCGGUCUGAGUUAGGGGUAGUAUCACUAGUUCGCACUAGCCGUGUCGUCUAUCGUCCUGCGUGACUCGUGGGAUAUGACCUAGUUUGUACUCUUUCCGGAGAUGUAGAAAAAUAAUCUAUAGGAGCUUGGAAUGCCUCCGAUGAGAUGUAAUCCUCUUUUCACCGUAAUAGUACUUUGUUUGGUCUUGUACUAAACCCUGUAUGGUGUGUAUGACGAUGGAAUAAAAGAAGCAGUUUCUGUAUCUACCAUGUCAUACGGAUGAUCAUCUUGCAUUCCGAGUUAUUCCUUACAUUAUGUAUCCUAUGUCGGAAUUUUACCAUCCUGACUAAAUCAUUGUCUUGUUCACCUAGGAUGGUCAACACGCGCGCUAACCCUGCUUCCCAAGAGCAGGCCGAGGGCAGUGAAGGCAGGAAUGAAAAUCUGCCUCAUCCUCCUUCACUGGCCGAGGUUAUGAUGGAAGCUGAGAGAAACAAGCGGGAGACCAACCGUUUGUUGGAGCGUAUUGAACAGAACACGGCACACCAUCAGAGGACUAACGUGGUGUAACUCAGUGAUUUUAUCAAAUUGCAUCCACCCACGUUCCACCACUCCGUCGAGCCUCUCGACGCUGAUGACUGGCUUCGCAGUAUCUCUCACAAACUGCGUUCCGCGCUGGUAGCGGAGGCUGACAAGGUCACCUUUGCUGCAUAUCAUCUUGAAGGCCCCGCCAGUCUAUGGUGGGAGAAUUAUGGAGCUAUGCGCCCAGCGGGCCAUGUCACUACUUGGGCUGAGUUCAGCGAGGCUUUCCGUGAACAUCACAUUCCGGAGGGUCUCAUGGACCGUAAAUGUGAAGAAUUUUGCAAUUUCACCCAAGGCCGACUUUCUGUGGAUGUCUAUAGCAGGGAGUUUGGUAAUCUCGCGCGAUAUGCAACUGAGGAAGUGUCUACUGACGCCAAGAAGCAAGCAAGGUUCCGUAAGGGCCUUAGUCCUGAGCUUCGCCGCGACCUCCGUCUGCAUGAGUGCACAUCUUUUUCGAAACUUGUCAACAAAGCCAUCAGUGCUGAAACUGGUCAGACUGACUAUGACGCAACACGCAAGCAUGGCCGUGACAUGGGUUCCUCAUCCGGUGCUGGUCCUCAGAAGCGCCGCGUGUGGGUGCCCAACACCGCCCUGCCACCCAGGUUCACACCGAGGCCAUCUUUCCAGGCGCCUCGCCCUGUUCAACAGUCUGCUCCAACCAAGCCCUAUGGGGGUCCAAACAAUAAUGCUCCUCCACGUACCAGUUCCGUGACUUGUUUCAAGUGUGGGGAAUCUGGCCACUAUAUGCGUGAGUGUCCCCAGACCAACCCCAAUCAAUCUGCUAAAGCUGUUGGCCGUGGCAAGCCGACAGGAAAAAUAUUCCACGCCAAGCCGGUCGGUGCUUCACGUGGCCAUGUCAACUGUAUCUCUGCCGAAGAAGCUCAAGAGGAUCCCAACGUCGUUCUCGGUACGCUUCUUGUUAAUUGCCACCCGGCAUCUGUUCUUUUCGAUACAGGAGCCUCUCAUUCUUUUAUAUCUGAAAACUAUGCUCGCUUGCAUAACGUCGCAUUCGGUGAUAUGCCAACCUCUAUGGUAAUUCAAACUCCGGGAUCCAAAUGGCAAACCUCUAGAGUAAGCCAUGGAAAUGAAAUCCAAGUCGACAGACUUGUUUUCCUUGCAUCUUUGAUAGCCCUUAAAUCUUCAGAUAUUAAUGUCAUUUUGGGUAUGGACUGGAUGUCAGCUCAUCAAGCCAAAAUUGAUUGCUUCUCUAGGACUGUUCAACUCAUCCAUCCUUCGGGGAAGAUAGUCAAUGUCUUGACCCGAAUAGCCAAGCGACAAUUAUAUUCUCUUAACGCCAGCCCUUUGCCAGACCUUGAGGACGUUCCGGUAGUCCGUGACUUUCCGGAUGUCUUCCCAGAGGAAUUGCCAGGUGUUCCACCUGACAGGGAUGUUGAAUUCGUAAUAGACCUCAUUCCAGGAACCGUUCCGAUUGCUAGAAGACCUUAUAAGAUGGCACCCUUAGAACUAGCCGAGCUUAAGAAACAACUCGAUGAAUCCUUGAAAAAGGGUUUCAUCCGCCCUAGUUCAUCUCCGUGGGCAUGCCCCGUCCUAUUCGUCAAGAAGAAGGAUGGUACGGACCGGAUGGUUGUAGAUUACCGACCUGUCAAUUUGGUCACAAUCAAGAACAAAUAUCCACUUCCCAGGAUCAACGAUCUGUAUGAUCAGCUCGCUGGAUCCUCAGUCUUCUCCAAGAUGGAUUUGAGGUUGGGAUACCAUCAAAUCAAAAUCAGAAACGGAGACAUUCCCAAAACGGCCUUUGUUACUCGUUAUGGCCAAUACGAGUACACCGUCAUGUCCUUCGGUUUAACCAACGCUCCAGCCACUUUUUCUCGGUUAAUGAACUCAAUCUUCAUGGAGUAUUUGGAUAAAUUCGUCGUAGUUUAUCUCGAUGAUAUACUCAUCUACUCCAAGAACGAGGAAGAACAUGCCGAACAUCUAAGGCUAGUGUUGCAGAAACUUCGAGAGCAUCGCCUUUAUGCCAAAUUGUCUAAAUGUGAAUUCUGGUUGCCAGAAGUGACCUAUCUGGGUCAUGUAAUAUCUGGUAAAGGUAUUGCUGUUAACCCUGAGCGAGUUCAAGCCGUCCUUGAUUGGACUCCGCCUGAAUCGGUCAAGCAAGUUCGGAGUUUUCUAGGCUUAGCGAGCUAUUGUCGUCGCUUUGUCGAGAACUUCUCCAAAGUUGCCAAACCUCUAACCGAACUCCUCAAGAAAGAUAAGAAGUUCGAAUGGACUCCACAAUGUGAGCACAGCUUUCAGGAACUGAAAAGACGCCUGACCUCUGCUCCCGUACUGGUACCGCCAGACUUCUCCAAGGACUUUGUUAUCUACUGCGACGCCUCGCGACAAGGACUAGGCUGCAUUCUUAUGCAAGAUCGACACGUAAUUGCUUACGCUUCACGGCAAUUGCACCCACAUGAGGAGAAUUAUCCUACUCAUGAUCUAGAGCUUGCAGCCGUAGUCUAUGCACUUAAGACCUGGCGACAUUACCUCCUCGGUAAUCGUUGCGAAAUAUUCACUGAUCACCAAAGUCUGAAGUACAUCUUCACCCAACCGGAUUUGAAUCUCAGGCAGAGACGUUGGGUUGAAUUGAUCACAGACUUCGAUUUAGGAAUAACCUACACCCCAGGGAAAGCCAACGUCAUGGCUGAUGCGCUAAGUCGUAAAUCUUAUUGUAACAACCUGAUGUUACAACAAAGUCAACCGCUUCUCCAUGAGGAAUUUCGGAAGCUUAACCUUCACAUUGUACCUCAAGGUUUUCUUUCCACCUUGGUAGCAAAACCUACUCUUACGGAUCAAAUCAUCGCUGCCCAAAAGCGAGAUAAGGGAAUAUCUAAAAUCAAAGAGAACAUUGCUAGCAGAGGUGCUAGUUGUUUCUCCACAAAUGAUCAUGGUGUUGUGUACUUUGAGAACCGUCUAGUGGUUCCCAAGAACCAGCAUCUACGGCAGUUGAUCCUUAAGGAGGCUCAUGAAUCUCCUCUCACCAUUCAUCCCGGUAGCACUAAAAUGUAUCAGGACCUACGCCAGAGGUUCUGGUGGACUAGGAUGAAGAGAGAAAUUGCUCAGUAUAUUGCUAAUUGCGACGUCUGUCGUCGUGUAAAAGCAGAGCAUCAACGGCCUGCUGGCACCCUUCAACCCUUAGCUAUUCCUGAAUGGAAAUGGGAUAAAAUUGGUAUGGAUUUCAUUACCGGUUUUCCCAGGACCAAGAGAGGGAAUAAUGCUAUUUUCGUCGCGGUCGAUCGUCUUUCCAAAGUAGCCCAUUUCUUAGCUGUUCGUGAGAGUAUAACCGCUAGUCAGCUGGCAGAUUUGUACAUCUCCCGAAUAGUGUCUCUCCAUGGUGUUCCUUUGGAAAUUAACUCGGAUUGAGGAAGUCUUUUCACCUCUCGAUUUUGGGAAAGCUUCCAAAAUGCUAUGGGAACCCGUCUCUUCUUUAGCACCGCUUUCCACCCUCAGUCGAGUGGUCAAGUGGAACGCGUCAACCAAAUUCUAGAAGACAUGCUUCGAGCCUCUGUUAUCUCUUUCGGAAUGGACUGGGAGAAGUGCCUUCCAUUUGCCGAAUUCGCCUACAACAACAGCUAUCAAUCUAGCUUGGGUAAAGCCCCUUUUGAAGUUCUCUAUGGACGACGAUGUCGAACACCCCUUAACUGGUCAGAGACCGGGGAAAGACAAUUCUUUGGCCCGGAUAUGAUUCAGGAAGCAGAAGAACAAGUUCGUAUCGUUCGUGAAAAGUUGAAAACAGCCCAAUCUCGUCAAAAGAGUCAAUAUGACCGAAAACAUAGGGCUAUGACUUUCGAGGUUGACGAGAAGGCUUAUCUUCGGGUCACCCCUCUGAAGGGAACCCAUCGUUUCGGUAUCAAAGGCAAAUUGGCUCCUCGUUAUAUUGGACCUUUUCGCAUUCUUGCCAAACGAGGAGAAGUUGCCUACCAGUUGGAACUACCUCCGCACCUCUCCAGAGUUCACGAUGUCUUCCACGUUUCUCAACUCAGGCGUUGCUUCUCAGAUCCUAUCCGUGAAGUGGACCACGAAACGCUUGAUCUCCAAGAUGAUCUUACAUAUCGAGAGUACCCCCUUCGCAUCCUCGAUCAAGCUGAACGUACCACGCGACGUCAUAAUAUCAAGUUUCUCAAGGUUCAAUGGUCGCACCAUUCUGAGGAUGAAGCAACUUGGGAAAGGGAGGAUCGUCUUCGACUCGAGUAUCCCGCCUUCUUCCCGGAGGAACCCAAAUCUCGGGACGAGAUUCUUUUGAGUGGGGGUGAGUUGUCACACCCUAGCUAGUCAUGCAUUAGAGUGUUGCAUCAUGUUUAUUCAUUCAUCAGAAACUUGAAAUGGGGAUGACAGAACCCCCAGUCCCCUCUGAAACCAACUAGGGUUACUAAAAUAAUUUUUCAAUGAACCUGAAAUGCCCUUCUAAAAUGCCCAUCAUUUUUGUCUUGGUUCAGAACCUCUGCCAAAAAUGGUGCACAUUUUCCUAGGCCAUCCUAGGGUUUUUGAAUUAAAUCAUAAAUAUUUGAAUUUGGGCAUUUAAAAUAAUAUAAAAUAUUUAAAUGCUCAAAUAUCUCCAAACUAAAAUGUUUCAUGUUGGAAAUAAUCCAACUAUGGGCCAGGAAUAGUUUGGUGAUUUUUGAAGUUGCCUAGGUAUUUUAUUAAAUUCAACAAAGUUGCAGAUAUAUAUUAAAUAAAACAGAAACAGAAGAAAAGGGGAAAACUUACCUGGGCUCCUCCACUGUGCGGCCCAGCCAGCUGNNNNNNNNNNCGGGCUCCGAUCAUCGUCGCCGUCGAAUUCGCCGUCUCCAGCGCGUCCCCGAGCCUGCUAACCAUCCCUGCAGCUCCGCGGUGAGCCCCCGGAUCGUUUCCCCCUUCUCCCCUGGUCUCUCCCGACCUCUAGGCCCUAGCCCCACCUUGGCCGAGAGCUCCACGCCGCCGGCGAUGUCGCCGUCGUGGCCACGGUCACCGUAGCACCCAACCGAGCACACUAUCGCGCUCUACACCUCACUAGGAUCACGCAGCACACACUAGCGCCUCCCCAAACCCUCUGCAACAUCGAUCCCGACCGCACCCGAACUCCGGUCGCCGCAGCCGAGCUCGCCGCCGUUAACUCCGGCCACCCGAGCCCAACCACCACCACCAAUAGUCGCGGCUCAACCUCAGCAACACGUAGAUGCCUUCCGCCGUCCAUUUGGUUGCCGGAAUGGCAAAAAGCACUUUCGCCGCUGUCUCGGACCUCGCCGGCGUCAUGUCGCCGGUGGGGUUUGACUUGUCCGACCUGGGGUUUGACCCCCCAGGGUCACUGACGCGUGGGCCCUGUCGGCCAGGUGGUUAGAUUAGCGCUAACUACUGUUAGUCAACCCCCCUGACACUGACAGUGGGCCCCAGCGCCACUAAUCCCUAAUUAGGAUUAAUUUAAACCUGUUUAACCCCCCCCCCUGUCACUGACGUGUGGCCCCCACACGUCAGGUUUGACUUCAGCCAGCCGCAGUUGACCACUGACGUCAUGCUGACGUCAUGUUGGCGCAAUAAUUAUAUUUCUGGAUUUAAAUUAAAUCAGGAAAUUCCAGAAUAUUAUUUAAACUUCAAAAAUUCAUAACUUUUAUUCUGUAACUCCAAAUUGGACAAAUUAUAUAUGAAAAAUGAUCAGAAAAAUCCAAUCUAUCCAUCCGUACUAUUUUCAUGCAUGAUCAAACAAGUUAAAUUGAUGUUUUAAGCAGAACAAGGAAAAGCACUUUAAAAGGCCAUGUUUGAGUUUGAAAUUUGAAUCUUUGAUUCAAAUUUGUUCAAACCCUUCUGGUUUUAGUUGCAUUAGCCCAACACACUCAUAUUGCCAUGUUUCAUGCAUGCAUCAUAUUGUUGCACAUUGUUUGGUGAUGCUUGUGUAUCGAUGUCCUUUGCGACAGGUUCUGUCCCCGAGGAAUACCGUGAUUACCCUAACGAAGAACCAUAUCAGUGCAUCGAACCAUCAGGCAAGCAACCAACCAUUUGAUCAUAUCGAUACAAUCCCAUGUUCUCGCUCCUGCUCUCUUUUACUGCAUUAAGACAACGCGAUUCAAACUGCUGUGUGCUACGGUAGUUGAACCCAUUUCCUCUGCAUGACCUGUCAUUGCCACAGUAACUAGAUGAAACCCACUAGCAUGUGUAGGAGUUGAUUGAGCCCUAUGUAUGUGUUGUUCCUACCUUCCUAUGCCUACUAUGCUUAGAGUCGUGUCAGGUCUGGUUCAUCUGGGUGAUGGGCUGGAGUGAAAUGUUAUGUCGGUAAUGAGAGUGGUGUGGUGAACACGAUUUGGUAAAGGUAUCGAUGAGAGGCCAUGUAGGAGUACAUGGUGGGUUGUUUCAUUGAAGCCGACCUUAAGCACUGAGAUCUGUAUGUGUGAUUUAAGAUACAGCUACUACCAUGCAUUGGGCCCUGAAAUAUGACCCCGCUCGACUUCUUAUUCACCCUAGCUCUCUGUCCAGGAGUUGCAAGUAGUUUCUGGUGUUUGUAGCCUACUGGAGGCCGUGGACAGCGCUGACCGUAGGGGUGGGCUGUGAUGCGGUAGGUACGUGGCACGGUGUACCGAAUACCCGUUAGGUAUCUCGGGAACCCUGUUCACAUCAUUCGGGGCCGUAUGGGAAACCUCGGCCGGACUCCCUGCGGAUGGAACCUGAAUAGGCGAUAAACCUGGACUAGAGGCUUAAGUGUUUAGGUAGGUCGUGGUCUACACCCAUGUCGGCUUUCGCUUGAAGUCUGCCGAGCACAUGUCGUGUGCAGACGCUAAGUGGUGGAAACAUGUAUGAAGAAGUACACCCCUGCAGGGUUAACAUGAUCUAUUCGAAUAGCCGCGUCCGCGGUAAAGGACUACUUGGUUGCCUAUACAGUUCAUAGACAAGUAAAUGGAAACUACUAAAAGCCUCAAGAUAAGUGUGAGUGCCGAGGAUGGCUCUUCCGUAGGAAGACGGAGGUGGAUCCUCGGUAGUGUAUUGAAGUGGUGAGUAGUGGACUCGUGUGCGCAAAACAUUUCAAGUUGGAGUAUCGUAGGAUAGCCUAGCCAAGAGUCAAAGCUGGCUUGCUGCAAUAACUCCACCAACCCUUCUUGAUACUAUGCAUGUAUGUAGGAUCUGAUGUAAGUCUUGCUGAGUACCUUUGUACUCAUGUUGCUAUAAUCUACAUUUUUACAGAAGACGCUGCAACCCCUUCUGAUUGGUUCUAUGUAGACGUUGACAUCAACGAGUAGGCUAAAGACCCAGGUGGUGACCCUGAGCUUGUGAUGGACCACGUAGUAUAGCUAGGCUUUCCAAGCCUCUUUUAUUUUACUAGUUGUCUGUACCCAGACAAUGUACUUCCGCUGCUGGCUUGUAUGACUGUAUGACUUGUAUGUUGGGUCGUGAGACCCGUACCUUUGUGAAUGUUAUGUAUGGCUCCCUGAGCCUUAAAUAAAGUACUUGUGUCAUAGAGUCAUGUUGUGAUGCUUCGUUGUAUUUGCACAUAUCGAGCAUAUUGUGUGUAUGAUUGAAAUGCUUGGUAUGUGUGGGAUCUGACUAUCUAGUUGUUUAUCUUUAGUAGCCUCUCUUACCGGGAAAUGUCUCCUAGUGUUACCGCUGAGCCAUGGUAGCUUGCUACUGCUCUGGAACACUUAGGCGGGCCGGCAUGUGUCCUUCUUCGUUCCUGUGUCUGUCCCUUCGGGGAAAUGUCACGCUUUGAGUACCGGAGUCCUGUUAGCCCGCUACAGCCCGGUUUACCGGAGUCCUGCUAGCCCAGUGCUACAGCCCGGACCCACUUGCUGAUGACCGACACGUUCGAAGCUGGGUCAUGGAUGCCUGUCCCUGUAAGUCUGUGCCACUUUGGGUUUACGACUAGUCAUGUCAGCCCGGGCUCCUUAUCAUAUGGAUGCUAGCGACACUAUCAUAUACGUGAGCCAAAAGGCGCAAACGGUCCCGGGAAAAGGUAAGACGACACCCGUGGGGAUACCGUGCGUGAGGCCGCAAAGUGAUAUGAGGUGUUACCAGCUAGAUCGAUGUGACAUCGAGUCGGGGUCCUGACAAACUUAGUCUUCUGUAGGAGUACUAGCAAGAUUCCAGCAUUGCACUGAACAUCAAGAUGCAUUUUUUAUAAAACACUUGUUGUGAUUGACUCAUGCGGGAGUAAUCCCAUGUGUAAAAACUAAUGAUAUCUCGAGAAAUAGGAGAUAAGGUGAAGAGGAGUGGGGCGUGGUGGUGAUUGGUGGUCGGACUGAGCAGAGGCAUGGGGAUUGACGACGCCGGCAGUGGCCACCAGGCCAGUAUGUUCCAGAGGCUUCCUUUCUUAAUUGCUCAAUGAUGAGGUUGUUGGAGAUAAGGAUGAACUAGGGAAGUCCUUGUCUGCAAAUGUGGAGAGGGGUGCGGGCAUCUUUUAGUUUAAUCUCCAUCCAUUAGAUAUAGAUCGGACGGUCUAUAUUGCAAGAUGGCACACGUACUAUCAUGACGAACUCGGUUUUUUAUAAGAGAAGAAAUAUAAAUAUGGAGAUACAAACGUAUUAUUAAUACUUGUUUCCGUAAAUUAGCAUCUACAUUGUAUUCAAUGCCUCGGCAUGUGUGGCCUUAGAACAAUGACUUCUCGACUGUGUAAAACAAGGGUUUUCCCGUCGCCGAUAAGGAGGGGUGACGGCGGUGCGCUUUUUGGCUUGCUAUAGUCCUAGUAAUCAUACUAGGUGGUCUAAGAACAUAUAGAUUUAUUGUUUUUCACGUCUCGUGUUCACCGUACUGCCACGGCUGUUGAUGAAUAUACGGUAAGUUAUUCAUGGGGAAACCCUUGUUGAGCAUGUUUGCGAGAGAAAGAGAGAUAGUGUGCGUGUGUGAUAUGUCUAGAGACUGAUGCAAAGAUAACAGAUUCUUUGUGUCUAUGUGUGUGGAGGAUAGAGAGGUAUGUACAUGGGGCUUUGUGUUGUGUAACGUGGAGAGACAUAUACAUAAUUAGAGAGUGAGUGUGUGAGAUACACAUGCAGACAUGGGGAGAGAUGAUGAUCCAGAUUAAUGGGUGUUUGUGCGUGUCUGCGUGUGUUUGUGCGCAUGUUUGUGUGUGAGAGGGAGUGUGUGUAUGUGGAGUAGAGAUACCACUAAUGAUGUAAACCUAGUAUAAGGGAAGGGGGAAUGGUGUGACAUGUGUAAUAGCGGGAUAACAUGGGUGCGGGCGGGCUGACACUACAAAAAAAUACACUUCCGUGAUGAUACGUGUUUGUCACAGUAGGUCUCGUUUUUUGUCAUGCUCGUACAUCCUUCACGAUUUUAUGAAAGAAUCAAGAUAGUCAUACCCAUGCCGUCAUAGAAGUGUUCCAUUACAUUACCAAAAUUAUCAUCGCGGAAGUGUCCACUUCCAUGACGAUAAAUCGCGCGUCACACAAGUGCUUUCGUCAAGGGUGGCCGACAUGGGGCAUCCACCGUAACGGAAUGCUGUUAAGCUAUCGGGGCAUCCACUCGGGGGGUGCAACCCAUUCGGCAUCGCACGGCUCAGUGACGUCAAACCACCAUGAUUGCCACCCCUUCAGGGUCUCCACAAAGGAGCCCUCGAGCCACAGGACGUUGGCCAUCUUGCCAACCAUGGCACCGCCGCACUCCGCCUGGCUGCCGCACACCACCUUUGGCUUGACGUUGAAAGUCUUAAGCCAUAGGCCGAAAUGGGGGCGGAUGCGGAGGAACGCCUCGCACACGACGAUGAACGCCGGGAUGUUGAGGACGAAGUUCGGGGCCAUAUUGUGGAAAUCCAGGCCGUAGUAGAACAUGAGCCCCCGGACAAAUGGAUGCAGAGGGAAGCCCAGUCCGCGGAGGAAAUGGGGGAGGAAUACCACCCUCUCAUGGGGCCUAGGAGUGGGAUGAGCUGCCCCUUUUCGGGAAGCCGGUGCGCGAUGUCGCUAGCCAGAUAUCCGGCCUUCCUCAGCUUUUUGAUGUGUCCCUCCAUGACAGAGGAGACCAUCCACUUGCCUCCCGCUCCGGACAUGACUGGAGAAGGUUGAGGUGGUAGUGCGGACUUGGGCGUUGGAGCUCGAGUGAGCAAGAAUGGAUAGGCAAAGGAGGAAGAAGGCGUGGGUGAAAAGGUGGAUCCUUAUCCCCUUAUAUGGGUGGACGCAACUACAUGUCCCCACCAGCCUGGUAAAACUCGCUUAUCUCCAAGCGCCGUAAUCAAAGGGGCGGUUGGGUUACCCACGCCCAUAUUGAUGAGAAUCCCGGAAUAAGGGGGCACGAUCUCUGCUUUGACAAGACGUGCCAAGGAAGCCGCCUCGCAUGACGCGCUGAGGUGGGAUAAUUAAAUGACUCGGACAAAGGCUUGGCCGUGGUAUGUCGCACCACGGAAUACGUCAGCAGAUUAGAUUUAUGUAAAUAUUAUUCUCUCUAUGGCAAUAUGUGGAAAACUUAUCUUGCAGAACCGGACACUAUCUUUGUGCUUAAAAUUUUCUAUGAAGUACUUGGAGGAGGAACCCGCCUUGCAAUGCCAAAGACAAUUUGUGCGCCGGACUCAUCGUCAUUGAAUCCUGGUUCAGGGGCUACUGAGGGAGUCCUGGAUUAGGGGGUGUUCGGAUAGUCGAACUAUACCUUAAACCGGACUCCUGGACUAUUAAGAUACAAGAUUGAAGAUUCCGUCCCGUGUCCGGAAGGGACAUUCCUUGGGGUGGAAGGCAAGCUUGGCGAUACGGAUGUUCAGAUCUCCUCCCAUUGUAACCGACUCUAUGUAACCCUAACCCUCUCCGGUGUCUAUAUAAACCGGAGGGUUUUAAUCCGUAGGACAACAUACACAUCAACAAUCAUACCAUAGGCUAGCUUCUAGGGUUUAGCCUCUCUGAUCUCGUGGUAGAUCUACUCUUGUACUACCCAUAUCAUCAGUAUUAAUCAAGCAGGACGUAGGGUUUUACCUCCACCGAGAGGGCCCGAACCUGGGUAAAACUUCGUGUCCCUUCCCUCCUGUUACCAUCCGGCCUAGACGCACAGUUCGGGACCCCCUACCCGAGAUCCGCCGGUUUUGACACCGACAGGGGGGUUUAAAUAAAGAUGACCCUUGGGCUCCGGAAACCCAAGGCAAAAAGAAGCUAGGUGGCAAAUGGUAAAACCAAGGUUGGGCAUUGUUGGAGGAGUUUUAUUCAAGGCGAACUAUCAAGAGGUUCCCAUUAUCAUCCAACCGCGUAAGGAAUGCAAAAUCCGGGAACAUAACACCGAUAUGAUGGAAACUAGGACGGCAAGAGUGGAACAAAACACUAGGCCAAAGGCAGAGCCUUCCACCCUUUAGCAAGUAUAUAGUGGCAUUAAGAUAACAAGAUAAUAUAGUGAUAUCCCAACAACAAACAAUGUUCCAACAAGGAACGAUCUUCAAUCUUCACCUGCAACUAGCAACGCUAUAAGAGGGGCUGAGCAAAGCGGUAACAUAGCCAAUCAACAGUUUGAUAGGACAUGGUGGGUUAGAGGGUUGACAUGGCAAUUUGGGAGGCAUGAUAAGCAAGUGGUAGGCAUCGUAGCACAGGCAUAGCAAAAGAGCGAGCAACUAGCAAGCAAAGGUAGAAGUGAUUUCGAGGGUAUGAUCAUCUUGCCUGCAAAGUUGUCAGAGUUGACUUGGUCCUCGUAAGCAAACUCAACAGGCUCCUCGUUAGCAAACUCGUCUCCCAACUCUACCCAAACAAGACAAACAAGCAAAAGGAACACAAUCAACCACGUGCAAUGCUCGAAUAACAUGAUGCAAACAUGGUAUGCUAUGUGGGAUGCGGUAUGUGAUGCAUAUGCAAGAUUUGACAAGGAAUUAUUGAACCUGGCCUCAACAUGGAAAUCCAAGAGUUCCACUGGAAAGUUGAGGUGAUUUCGGUUGAAAUCGAUAUAAAGAUCACCGGAAUCGGAUGCACGGUUUGGAAAUGGCAAGCAAAACAAAUAUGGCACCGGUCUUCGAUAAUCAGCAAGUAACCAUCUAAAUGCAUCAAGAUAAAUAUGCUACAGCACUCAAACAUGACAACAAAAUACAUGGCAGGGAUCCACUCAUGAUGCUUGACAAAAGAUGAACACUGAGCUAAGGCUAAUUCAUCCAUUAACAGGUUCAAACAAGCAUGGCAAAAAUGCAAACGAUAAUAGGUUUCAGACUUAAUGAAAUUAACACAAGUCCGGAAUUUAACAUCAGGUAGCACACUUUGGAGCAUGAAAACUAUAUGCUACAGGAACUUAACAUGGCAAAGCAAGGCAUGGCAUGAAUCUACUCAAAGCACUUUACAAAAUGUCAGCGCCCCGGCCGCACCCAGCGUCACCAACGGGCCAAGUCCACGCGGCAGCAGCUUGCGUGGCGCCGCUGCUGCCCAACCAGCACCACGGGAUCGCAGGCCCAACACCCGCGUCACUGGGCCAGAAUGGACUAAGUGAAGCCCAGGCGAGGCGGCCACUACUUAAGGCGAGACCACCGACUAGCUCGGCAUCCAGUGGAUCAAGGCAACAACGACGGCGGCUACCCUAGUUCCAUUCCCCUCUCUGUAAUUGCAAUUUCCCUAUAAUCGAGAUACUGGACUCGAAUUCAUGAGUGAGAUCAAGCUAGUUCGAAGAAUCCCUACUCUGUACCUUACAUCUAGUAUCAGAGACCAAUCCCACCCCCUUCCACCGACCACUCUGGCCAAGAUCAUCGAGACGCGGCGACUACGCCAAGCACGAUCAUAGCUCGUCGCCAUGGAUCCAACCGUUGAAGCUUUCCUCGAACGCCUCGACAAUACUCUCAAGGCCCAGAACAAGGCCAUCG